AGUAACCUAGCAAGUGCAUGGCUGAUUAUUCACUUCUUUAGGCAAAGCUUGUUUAUUACAACAUAUUUUAUAUUUUCUAAAUUGUUUCUUUGACAGAUUUCACAAUCAUCUCAAUUUGAACACUAUCUAGUGAGAAAACUCUGCAUCAUUGCGUUAAUUUGUGCGAAGACUACGGAAAAUUUUCUUCAUAACUUACUCUUUGUAUUAUGCUUUUGCAGCUUCUACUUCUUGUGCUGUUGCUGCCUACUGCAAGACUGCUUCGGUGGUCCUCCCCAGCCGGCUGGGCCACCUGGGCCACCUGGGCCUCCUCCCCCACCCCCUUCUGCACCUCCUCCGCUAGCACCUGGGCCUCCUCUUCCGCCUGGUCCGCCUCUGGGACCUUUUUUCGGUCCACCAGACCCACCAGGUUCUCCUGGACCACCUGGUUUCCCACCAGGACCUCCUGGCCCACCUGGUGGCCCACCAGGACCUCCUGGCCCACCUGGUGGCCCACCAGGACCUCCUGGCCCACCUGGAUGGUGACAGGGGCCCUCAACUUCUAACCCAUAUUUCACCUUAUUUGCUAGAGAUGUGUGUAUUGAGAGUUGAACCAGUUUUCUUGGGUUUCUCUCUUUCUAUUAAUGUCCUCUAAUUUUAUAUAUCAUUUUAUGAAUCAUGUAAAAGUUUACUGUUUGAAAAAUAUGGAUGAAUUGAGAGCCUAAAAAAUUGGGUUUCAUGGAGAAUAUAUUUUGGGGAAAAUAAUCCUCAAAUCAUGCACUAAAAUAAUAACUUUCUAAGAAUACCCUUCAAUCCGUUGAAAGUGGGUUGCCACCUAUACAAGGCAAUUUGACAAUCAUACUUAAUUAGACCUCGCUUAUAUAAUUGUCACAUCACUCAAUACUACUUUAAUCUCUAUUUCAAACAUGUUAAUAAUAAUAUUAUUUUUAUCUAAAAGUAAUAAUGUUAGUAACUAAAAGUAUAAUCGUAGAUAACGUGGAUAUUAUUUUCACCAAAAACUAAAAGUAACCAUGUAAGUGACUAAAAGUACUAUUAUAGAUAACAUUAUAUAUUAACUUAUUUAGUUUUUUAUUAUCAUUGUUAUGAUUUUGACAUUGAUCAUGAAAUAAUAUGCCAAAAAAAUGCACAUAAUGUACUUUAUAAAAACAUUAUUUAUUAAAAAAAUAAAAACAAUUUUAAUGGUUUAAAAUUUUAAUUAAACAAAAAUGUGUGUGUGUUACAUUUUUAAUUAAAAAAAAUUAGUUUUUCUUUUUUAUUCUUUUUAAAUAUCAUAUAAUAUGAUGAGAAUUGUGAAUUUUAUAUUAAAAAAUUUAAUGCAAAUUGUGGACCCGCGUUUUUCACAUGCAUCCCUACUUGAAUGGUGACUCUCUUAUUAUUUAUUUGAUAAAAAUUUGAUUUUUUGAAAAAGACUUGGAGUCGCCAUUUAUUUUCGUUUUAUUUUUUUAAAGAGAAAACAAAAUAAGAAAGAAAACUUUGUGUGACUCCUUAUUUGGAAAAAAACAUGUAUGUAAAAACCAAAUUUGGAUUUGGAGGUCAAGUUAUCUAUUGGGAAUGUACGAUUGUGAGCCGUAGCACCCCUCUAAGCCAUAUACAUAUGGUUUCUAUUAAACGAAUUAAAAAAAUUGUGACAAUUAAUUAAUUAAUCAUGGACACCAAGAUUUAAGGAAUGAAACAAUAUAGACAAAGAUGAUGAUAAAAUAAAAUUACAAGAAUGUACAAAACAAAUAAUAAUAGAAUUAUGCAAAUUGAUUUAUUGAACUAAUUAGAAAAAAAGAUAUUUGAAAGAAUUAGUUUUCAAGAAAUUUCAAAUGAUUUUAUUAAAAACAAUUUUGAAUUAGUGAUUUCAAUUUAUUUAUUUACAAAAAAGAAGUUUCAAUUUAUUUUCAAUUAAUGAUUUGAUUCAAUUUCAUUUGUAUUUAAUUAAAAAAAAAUUAUUUACAAUUAUCAAAAUAAUUUAUUACAAAAUUUCAAUUUGGUAACAAAAAUUAUUUUUACUUGCUUUUUACCAUAAAUGAAUGAAUUUUUACAAUUUUAUUUAAAAAAGUAUUUUGAUUUAUUUUCAUUUAAGAAAAGUAACUUAUACAAAUUAUUAAAAUAUAUAUAUAUAACUUUAUUUGCAAAAUAAUUUUUAAUUAAAAAAAGACUUUUGUAGCUUUAUUUACAAAAAUAUUAAAAUUCAAUCCAACUUUAUUAAUAAUAAAAAAUUAUUUAAUAGAAAAGAGAAUUUUUACAAAAUUAUUUAGAAAAAUGUAUUAAUCCCUAUUUUAUUUAUAAAAAAAAUUAUUAUGGUUUUAUUAAAUAAAAAAAAAGAUUAAUUGAAGAAGAGAUUUUAUCUUUAUUUGAUUUAAAAGAAAAAAUUUUCAAUUUUAUUAGAACUAAAAAACAAUAAUAAUAAUAAAUAAAUAAAAAUAAAUGAAUGAAUAAAUAAAACUUUGAUUCUCUUUCAGAUUUGGAUUUUAUAAAUAAAUAAAUAAGAGUUUAUCCGAAUUUAUUUAAAGAAAACCAAUUUUUCAUGUUUUAUUCACCAAAAGGUGUUUUAAACCUUUAUUUUAUUUUAUUUUAUUUUUUGGAAAAAAAAAUCUUUACAAUUUUGACAUAAAAUAAAUUUUGACUUAGUUAUUAUUAUUAUUAUUUAUUAUUAUUUUUUUUUAUUUUUUAAAAAACAUAACCUUAUCUACAAAGAAGAAUUUUCCUUAACUUUACUAAAGAGGGAAUUUUAUUUAUUUUUUAUUUAAAAAAAAACAUUUUCACAAUUUUAUUUACAAAAGAAUUCUAUUCCAAUUAUGUUUACUUACAAAAGAUAUCUUGAUCAUUUAAAUAAAAAAAAAAAAAAAAAAAUUCUUAAUUUUGUGAAAAAAUAAAAAAAAGUUUUUGAAAGGAAUGAUUUCAAUUCUUUGUAUCAUUGUAUUAAAAAAAAAAGGUUUGAAUUUUAUUAUUAAAAGAAUAAUUGAAGUUUGUAUAUAAAAAGAGUGAUUUAAAUUUCCUAAAAUACAAGAUUUCAAUUUCGUUAAAAGAAAAAAAAAAAUAAUAAAAGAAGAUAUUUGUUGAAAGUAAAAAAGGCCACUUUUUAAGGAAUAGGAUUUCAAAAUUGCAAAGACAAAAAAAAAAUAAAAAAGUUUAUUUGAUAAGAAUUGCUUGGAUUUUAUAAAUAAAAAAGUAUUCAUUUAUUUAUUUUAUUAGGAAAAUGACUUAAAAAAUUUAUUAUUAGAAAAAUGAUAUCAUAUUUUAACCAAAUCUUCAGCUUUAUAAUAAAAUAUUAAAAAAGUAAUAAUAAUCUCAAAUAUAAUAAUAAAAAAUUAUUUUUAUAACAAUAUAAAAUAUAAAAUUAAAUAAAUGAAUGAAUACAAUGUGCACACUAAUAAUAAAAUCCAUGCUUACCAAAUAAACACACAAAAAUAAAUAAGAAGAAAAGUAAGAUAUUUACAGGGAUAUGUGCACAAAUUGACGAAUAUAAAUAUUAAAAAAAAUCGAUAUUUGCAUCAUUGAUAAACCAAAAAAAAAAAAAACUAUAUAUACAAAAAUAACAUAUAGAAUAAAACCAAUAUAUACAAAAAUAAAUAAAUAAAUAGGAGGAUAUGGAUAAACAUACAACUUUAUAGUGCAAUGCAAUCUCAUUAGCAUUGGCUCUCCAUAACUUCCCAAACAAAGCUCAAAAAAUACAAACCAAAAUCUCUCAACCUCACUACACAGACACUAAAAAAAAUACCAAGAAAUCGAGAGAAUUUAGAGUCAUCUCCCCCCUCUCUUCUCAAGCUGCCAGUGAUCCUUUUAUCCCAAAUUCGGUUCUGCCAACUUUUUGCCCAUGCCCAUAUCCUGCUUCAACCACCCCAAUUGCUCUCAUUUUGCUCUUCUGCUCUCAACACAAUGCUAAAACAUAAAGAAAUACAAGAAAUGUCACAGCCCAUUGAAAAUAUUUUAAUCAAGCCCAAAUCACAUAAGUUAGAAACCUAAAUCAAUAACUAUGCAAGCCCAACAUCUCAAAUAAAAAAAUCAAGUCCAAUUAAGAAAACAAGCCCAACUUAAAAAUGCAAUCUAAAUACCAACAAAACCAGAACCCAAAUAAUAUUGAAAGUAGGUCUGAACCUGAAUUCAACCCCAAAACAGUUACUAUGUAAACCAAGAUGAAAAUUUUCUUUUUACCAUUAAUCCCACCUUGAAACCAAACAACGAUGGUAGAAAGGAUGACAAUAGAGUUGAGCGGCAUGACGACCAUGAGUCACUCGGCUGGAAGCAGAAAUGGAUGAACGCUCUUUUGCGUCAACCAUGGAUACAAUUUUUCAUAUUAGAAAAUCUGAGAGAAUGAAAGCGAAAAGAUGUAGGGAAAAUAGAGAGAGAGAGAGAAGUGUGGUUGGAAGAGAUUGUCGAUUGGCAGUGGCGCCGCCGAUAGUGGUGCCGCUGGUUGUGGUGUCGCUAGCAGUGAGAGGGGUAGUGUCGUGGGUAUGAAAAUGGGAAGGAAGGGAAAAGAAAAUGUAAAGAAAAAAAGAAAAUAGAAGAAAAAUGAAAGAGAAGACUGAGAGGCGGGUAUGAGAAAAAUCGGAUAUAAAUGAGAAGGUUAAAGUUUUGUUUUGAAAUGAAUGAUGGGGAUUUGAUGAAAAAAGAAUAAGAAAGACUCAGAUUAAAUCUCUAACAAAAAUUGGAUUUAAAAGUUAAAAGAAAUAAACCUAAUAAUCAUUGACCAAAAGUCUUAAGAUAAAUAAUAUGUAUAUAUAUAUAAACAAAAAAUAAAAAUAAAAAUAAAAAUAAAAGAGUUUAAGACAAAUUUUGGGGUCUACAAAUAUAUCCAUCUUUGGUAGAGUUCUCGAGUGUAAGGAAUAUGAAUGAUGAAGUGGAAUGAAAGUGUGAACAAUGAGUGGAAUGAAGUGAACUCUACUUAAGAACAAGAGAGACCUCAAAAGUGUCUUAGUGUAACACGAUGCCCUCAAACAAAAACAAAAACAAAGGGGCUCUAAAACCCUAAAAAGAGGGCAAGAACGUAUCAAGCAAGAAAAUAAAACUCCUAUGAUGCCUCUAAAGUUACACUGUGAUCCAAACUAUCCCUGAAAAGUCUCCAAAGUAACUCGAAAAUCAAUAUCGAAGUUGAGUAGCAGUCAAACCACCAAAAAGUAUAGGAAUAAGUACAAAGGGAAAAACCAUACAUCUAUUAUACGAAAACAGGAUGAAAUAUGAAGUUGCGAGGACAAAGUGUGCAAAGACUAAAGUCACCUAAAUCUAAAGGAAAGGAUGAGACGCAGUCACCAUGAUCGAAAACACUUAAAAUAGAUGAGAAGGAAUGGGAUGCGGUCGCAAUAACCGAAAUCACUUAAAGUUUUGCUUUGUUUGGUGACAGCCCACCUUUAUGGUCGAAAGGUAAUCUUGAAAGAAUGCCUAAAAUUAUUAUUUUAAUGCAUGAUUUAUGGGUUAUUUUUCCUUACUCUCCAUGAUUUUCUUGUUUUUAGAUUCUCAAUCGGUUCAUAUUUUUCAAAUUGGUGACAGCCCACCUUUAUGGCCAGAAGAUAGUAUUGAAAAAAUGCCUAAAAUUAUUAUUUUAAUGCUAUGGGUUACUUUUUCUUACUCUCCAUGAUUUUCUCAUUUUUAGAUUCUUAAUUGAUUCAUAUUUUUCAAAUUAUAGACCUUUACAUGAUUAUCCUUUAAUUUUAAAGAUAUAUAGUAUUUUAUCAAAGGUUAUUUUAUUGUAACAAUCGAGCGAAGGCACACGUCUUUUUAAUUUUAUAGAAAAUAAUAUUAAAUAUCAAUGAGGAAACUUAAAGGCAAAGGAACAUCACAUGAGCCACAGCGCAUUGCUAAAACAUUAUCCAUAGUCUAUAGACUACAUCAUUUGUCUUCACUUCAAUUCUCUAAACUUGUGAAGCAAGUAUCUAAAAAUAGGCCACUAUUUCUUGCCUUGUAUGAGAGUUGAAAGUGGUCUUUGAAGAUAACAUCUUGUAUCAUUCAAAAAUUAAAAGAGAGAGGGAGGGAAGGAGAAGGAGGGAAAGGGAGGGAGGCACGGUAGACUAUUGGAUGAUGGGUAUGGAAAGAGUCCUUCUUGCAGCCACAUUUAAAAAAUGAUUUUCGGUCUAAUUCAGGUGGCCAAUGGAUGGCCUUGGAUUUCUCAUCUUGAUAAUUAAAAUUUGACAAGAGGCCUGAGGGGCAUGAGAAAAGACACGUAUAUGUAUAGUUAUGAGGUGACACAAAUAUGUUAAAAUAUAUGGGGGUGGUUUGGCCUGGCUAGGUGGAUGAAGUGGCACCUUUUUCCACAAGCCUCAGCAAUACAGAAUGAUUGAGAGGUGACGGCCACAUGUGGUCAUGGUGGAGCCACAAAUAAUUGAAAAUGGGUAUUAUCCAUAUCCAUUCACCGCCAAGUAUGGAACUGGACGGUUGCCCACCCUCUCUUUUGCCUUAUGCCAAAGCAAUCCGGCAGGCACUGAACAAAAUCUUAAAUCACAAUACCAUAUUCCUAUACGUGUCAAUUGCCUAUUCCAAACAACUCAACCAUUGAACAGGUAUAGAAUUAGGCACGUCUGCGCUGUGCUUCUUCAGGGAACCCAUGUCCAAAAACAAGGAAACAAAACAUUAAAGAAGCCCACUGCUGCCUCAAUGCUUGGGUCUAUAGUUUCUCUGGCUUUUCUUUCCUACUUUGGCAUUUCCUUUGUUUGGGGAAUCACACAACCAUACCUUAUUAAAAAUAAAACAAAAUUUUUAAGAACAGAAAGAUUGCCUUUUCAUCACAAGUGUAAAAUGAAAAAGUAAUCCCUAAUACAUAAAGAAUAAUUUCUAUAUACUUAUAAAAAUAUCCUUAUUUAUUAAAUUGUUUUAAGGUUAAAAAGAAGUUAAUCAUAGUUUUAGAAAAAACUCUAACCCGUUUGAUCAUGAAUCCCGAUAUUGUUUCUGAUCUAUAUAACAUUUGAAACUUUUUAUCAUUAAAAUAUUAAAACAAAAUUAAACCAUUUUCGAAAAUUAUUACAAGUUGAACACAUUUUAUGUGUUUUUUUAAAAAAUAUUAUAAAUAAUUUUUAAAAUUUUAUUAAAUACCCAUCUUUUAAAAAAAAUAUUUUUUAAAAUAACUGUUAACCAUAUUUUUAGAAUGAUAGUAUAAUUCUCAUUUCAAAAAAUCUAAGCCCAAUUGAAAAAAUAAAUCCCUAGGAUGAUUUCGGCACACUCGAACAAGAUUUACAAUUACAAAGUGAAUUUUGAAAUUGGGUGAUGAAACACCUUUUAUUUUAUAUAUAUAUAUAUAUAUAUAUAUAUAUAUAUAUAUAUAAAGCUCGAUCCAUAUCCUAAUUUCUAGUAAAUUUUAAUUUCACAAUACGCACAAAAAAGAGGGGCAUUUUUUGAUAGAAUCAAAUCAUUAAAAGGCACCAGUGAUGCGUUGGAUGGUGAAGUUUUUGUUUAGAUCCCCAUACACAUGGGCCUCUAUCCAUUUUGAACACGCACCGCCAAUCAAGAUCCACCUGGACGUGAGUCAGCAGGCUUCUACAGGCAGGAUGACUAAGCGCCACGUGUGAAGCCAAUCCAGAACAUCAUCAUUUACAACUUGUGAAAUAAAUGGUGGCUAAGACUCGGUUUGGAAUCUCACUUUCCACCUCAUCAAAUACACCACGUCUCUUCGCACCCACAGAGAGACCCUGUGGUCGGCCCAUUCUUAUGAAUACCUGACCCACUUGUCUAGGAAAAUGUUUUUCCUACCAAAUUUGACUAAUAUUAUUAUAAUUUUAAAUUAAAAAUUUUUAAAAAUGUUUUUGAAUAAUUUAUUAAUUCAAUUUUAAUAAUUUAUUUAAUAUUUAAAAACUGAAAAGAAUUCCACAAUUUUGACUAUUAAUAAAUUGAGAUAAUUAUUUAUUUAUUAGUGAAUAUUUAAUAAAUACUAUAUAUUUUAACUAGUUUUAAAAAUAAGGUAACAGAAAACGAAACCUAGUUCUAUAAUUUUGUUUAAAAUUAAUAAAAAAAGAAAAAAAAAAUACUUUUGAUAGAAGAAUUUUAUACUUUCGAACAGGACACGCGGCGGAUCUUAAAGGACUUUUUUUUUCCCAAAAUGCCCCUCUUGUGUCGAUCCUUCUGUAUAUAACUUACGGGGCUCCGACUCUCCUGUCUUCACAUUCCGAUUUUCUCUCCUACGUUUUUCCCUCAUUUUCUUCCACGACUAGCAUUCCUGCAAAAUUUCAUUCCUUGGGAAUUUCUGUUUUGGUUUUCAUCUUCUCGUUUAUUUGAUCGAGAAGUGAGAUUUUGGGGUUUGAAAAGUUAGGUUUUGAGGUAUGGAGGCUUUGGUGAUUGGGACUUCUCAGGCUCAGAUCGGGAGAGCACGUUUGGCUUACAGGAAGCUAGGAUUUUAUAAUCCGGCGGCUCAGGGUUUCUCUCGGACGACUAGGAUCUGUUUUGAUCAUUCCCAGAGAUGGAGAACGGAUGGUGUUCGACUUAGUUUGAACGCUGUCCAUUCGGAAGUUCUCCGAUCUGAGAAAGUUUCCGGCGAUGUGUCUACUUCUGCUAGAAGAUCCAAGCCAGUAAGUUCGUUUUUGUUUUUCUGUUUUUAGGAACUUUUGUUUGGUUGCUGGGAAACGGAAGAAAAAAGAAAAAAAAAAUGAUUUUUAUGUGGUCUGUUAUUUGUUUGGGCUCGAUCACUCGAGGUUUUUUUUCUCUUCGAGAAUGAAAAUUUUAUUUGUAUUCAAAUUUGCAAACAGAACAUCAAGUCUUGAGGUUCGCUUUGAAAUUUAUAUCUUCUUUUGCAACUUUCUUCCAGAAAUUGCUUGCUUUUCUCCGCUGAUUAUCCCUUUACAUCUGUUUGGUGGUCAUUAAGAUCGAGGGAAAUGAAAAAUAACAUUUGGAAUUGUUUUUGUUUCAGAAAUGGAAAAGGUCGUGUAUUUGACUUGAUUUGGCUUGAAAUUUAAGAAUUUUCAGUUCUUUAAUUUCCCUUUUUUCCUCAGCAACCAACCUAGGUGUGGACGCUAUGUGUACCCUUCUUUAGUUUAUUUGCAUGACAGUAAAGGACUCCUCUGGUAUUUUGAAUUUAAAUGGGAAGUAUAAACAAAGGUCCUUAUUAUUUGGAGAUAUAGCUCUGAGUUGAAACUGUUUAAAUUUUCUACUAUAUUUUCCCAAUUUUCUCGGCAAUCAAACUUAGGAUAAGAUGAUAACCCUUUACCAUGAGAGAGACUUGCAAAGUUAUCAUUUAUAAUUGUCCUAUAUACUCUGUUGUCAUAAGAUGUCCACAACUUGUGUUAUUUUGACAUGAUCUAUCUGAUCUGUCUAAACCAGUCCCACCUUAGUAAUUGUUAGAUAAGGGCACUGUUAGAAACCAUAUCUCUAUAUGGAACCCUGUUUAAAUUUUCUACUAUAUUUUCCCAAUUUUCUCGGCAAUCAAACUUAGGAUAAAAUUUUAACCCUUUACCAUGAGAGAGACUUGCAAGGUUAUCAUUUAUAAUUGUCCUAUAUCUCUGUUGUCAUAAAAUGUCCACAACUUGUGUUAUUUUGACAUGAUCUAUCUGAUCUGUCUAAACCAGUCCCACCUUAGUAAUUGUUAGAUAAGGGCACUGUUAGAAACCUUAUCUCUAUAUGGAACCCUGUAUAUCGGAAAGAUGCCUCAACUUUCUUAUUGAAAGUAAAAGAGAACAAUUUUGCUUUUUGGAUGGUUCAAACUAUUAAAGUUUCUUGCUUUUCUAUAAUUCAAGCUAAUCAUCUUUCUCCUGUUAAAAUCUGAUUAUGCUGGUAUUAUCAUAUUGUUCUGUUGCUUUUAUUGUUUCAGGUUGAUGGUGUAAGAUUAUAUGUUGGCCUGCCCCUGGAUAUAGUAUCCGACUGCAAUACACUAAAUCAGGUGAAAGCAGUUUCAGCUGGAUUGAAGGCUCUAAAGCUAAUGGGGGUGGAUGGUGUUGAGCUCCCAGUCUGGUGGGGAAUAGCUGAGAAGGAAGCCAUGGGAAAAUAUGAUUGGUCUGGCUACCUUGCAGUUGCAGAGAUGGUUCAAAAAAUGGGUCUCAAGCUUCAUGUUUCACUGUGUUUCCAUGCAUCCAAACAACCAAAAGUCUCUCUUCCCCAGUGGGUAUCACAGAUUGGUGAAGUGCAGCCUGAUAUAUUCCAUACAGAUCGGUUGGGGCAGCAUUACAAGGAGUGCUUAUCUCUGGCUGUUGAUGAUCUUCCUGUUCUAGAUGGAAAGACACCAAUCCAAGUUUACCAUGACUUCUGUGAGAGUUUCAAGACUUCGUUCUCACAUUUCAUGGGCUCAACAAUCACAGUAAGAAUCUGGAUCCCACAACUCUAUUGUCAUAUAUUCCUGGUAUCUUAUUUGGGGUAAUGACACUUAAAGUGGAUUCUGGUAUUUUCUAUUUUGCAGGGCAUCUCAAUGGGUCUAGGCCCAGAUGGUGAGCUUCGAUAUCCUUCUCAUCACAGGGUAAGCAAAAGGGGUAAAGUCCCUGGGGUUGGAGAAUUUCAGUGUUAUGACAAAAACAUGCUCAGCCUUCUCAAGCAACAUGCUGAAGCAACUGGAAAUCCGUAUUGGGGUCUCGGUGGUCCUCAUGAUGCCCCCCAGUAUGAUGGGAUGCCAAACUCGAACAACUUCUUCAGGGAGCAUGGCGGAUCAUGGGAGACUCCAUAUGGUGAUUUCUUCCUUUCUUGGUACUCAAACCAGCUAAUAUCUCAUGGAAGUAGCCUCCUUUCCCUUGCUUCUACAGUUUUCUGCAACUCUCCCGUUGCAAUUUCUGGCAAGGUCCCAGUCGUUCAUUCAUGGUACAAAACCCGCUCGCACCCUUCUGAGCUAACAGCUGGCUUCUACAACACAGUUGACAAGGACGGCUAUGAAAGGAUUGCUGAAAUUUUUGCAAAAAAUUCAUGCAAAAUGAUCUUACCGGGAAUGGACCUGUCAGACGAUCACCAGCCGCAGGAGUCCCUCUCUAGCCCUGAAUUAUUACUCGCACAAAUCAAGUCUGCUUGCAGAAAGAGAGGAGUUCAGAUUUCUGGGCAAAACUCGUCUGUUUCAGGAGCACCUGGUGGUUUCGAACAGGUAAAGAAGAAUUUGCUGGGCGAGGAUGGAGUUGUGGACUUGUUCACUUAUCAGAGAAUGGGAGCCUAUUUCUUCUCCCCUGAGCAUUUUCCUUCAUUUACUGAGUUGGUUCGGAGCCUGAGUCAACCAGAGAUGCUCUGGGAUGACAUGCCUAACGAAGAGGAAGAAGUUGGUGAAUCAUUGCCGGUAGGAUCAAGUUCAGACAAGAAUCUCCAGAUGCAAGUGGCUUAGUAAGAAGUAGUAGUAAAACUGUAUCCAUGUGAAUAGGGCAUCAUAUUAAAUAGACCCAUUAUUAGAAGAGGUUGUAUUAGAUAUGAUAGCCAUACAAAUUCUAUGGAACCAUGUACUGAUUAUAUUUUCAAACAAAAGCUGAAUUAUAAGGAAGAAGUAUUGCUUGGCAUGUUCAGUCCCCAACACAAUCUUUAUUGCUUAAUUGCUUAAUUGCUACCCUGAAAUGACCGUCCAACCUUGAAAUUAUUUGAAUGCCCAACUCUAGAAAGUAGCUAUGCGGAAUUACCGUGAAGACAGACAAGGAAAGCCAUCAACACUAUGAAAUUGACAAUCCAACAAACUCUUUCAUCAGUGAAGUAAGCUCCAAUAGAAUUAACCUCGUAGUUCUUCUCUCGUUUCUCCAUUGCAUUCUGCAUUGGAUUUCUCGGUAUUCUUGAGUCACAAAAUUAUUUUUGCUAAAUGGAUGAAAAUAACAUUUACUGGUUUCCUGAAACUUAUCCAUUGGAGGGACCAGGCAUACGAUGACCUGAGUCCAUCGUGCAAUCGGGUAAACAUCCUCAGGCCGGCCAAUAGCUAAAUAACUUCUAAAACUUAUCCAUUGGAGGGACCAGGCAUACGAUGGCCUGAGUCCAUCGUGCAAUCGGGUAAACAUCCUCAGGCCGGCACAUAGCUAAAUAACUUCUACUGCUUUCCUGAAACUUAUCCAUUGGAGGGACCAGGCAUACGAUGGCCUGAGUCCAUCGUGCAAUCGGGUAAACAUCCUCAUCCUCAGGCCGGCACAUAGCUAAAUAACUUCUACUGCUUUCCUGAAACUUAUCCAUUGGAGGGACCAGGCAUACGAUGGCCUGAGUCCAUCGUGCAAUCGGGUAAACAUCCUCAGGCCGGCACAUAGCUAAAAAACUUCUACUGCUUUCCUGAAACUUAUCCAUUGGAGGGACCAGGCAUACGAUGACCUGAGUCCAUCGUGCAAUCGGGUAAACAUCCUGAGGCCGGCCAAUAGCUAAAUAACUUCUACUGGUUUCCUGAAACUUAUCCAUUGGAGGGACCAGGCAUACGAUGACCUGAGUCGAUCGUGCAAUCGGGUAAACAUCCUGAGGCCGGCCAAUAGCUAAAUAACUUCUACUGGUUUCCUGAAACUUAUCCAUUGGAGGGACCAGUCAUACGAUGACCUGAGUCCAUCGUGCAAUCGGGUAAACAUCCUCAGGCCGGCCAAUAGCUAAAUAACUUCUACUGGUUUCCUGAAACUUAUCCAUUGGAGGGACCAGGCAUACGAUGACCUGAGUCGAUCGGGUAAACAUCCUGAGGCCGGCCAAUAGCUAAAUAACUUCUACUGGUUUCCUGAAACUUAUCCAUUGGAGGGACCAGUCAUACGAUGACCUGAGUCCAUCGUGCAAUCGGGUAAACAUCCUCAGGCCGGCCAAUAGCUAGCAAACCCAAGUCUGUGGAACAGUGGAGAACCAACCCUAUCCACGAAGACCCCGGGUUAGAUGUGGCGGCUCACUGAUUGGCGUAUCACGCCACACAAGCCCGCUUGAGAAGACACUUGUUCCAUGAUGAAGCCGAGAUUAUGGAUUCCAUCCAUUCGGGCACAUGCCAGGAGUGUCUGGACGGAUUAGCAGGGUGCCGCUGCUAGAUGCCACCUAAACUCAGGGUGCCGCCCUCCUUCGUGGACUAAUACAAUGGGUCCGUCAAGUCUAACAUGAUAGGAUGACUCCUGGUUACCGUCCCUUCCCAACGUUUCCAAUUAUCCUUUGACCAUCGUCUGAGACAUGCCUGAGCAAUCAAUGACAAGCAAGGCAAGGUAUCCUAGGCGCCACUUGCAGAAACAAUGACAAUUAAGCUCUCUGCCCGAGAAUGUUGACCUUGCCCUUGCUACGCCAUCCAUACACAACAAAGCUAUCGAAGGUUAUGCAAGUAGACCCCAACCCGAGGGGCAAGUCCAUUCCUUUUAAGAGAAAAACCCUCCAUACUUCACCUUCUAACUCUCCUCGUUGCAGUGAUUUGUCUUUUUAUUAUGUCCCAUAAGAUAAGAUUAUUGGUCACACAAAUAGACACUCUUGGGAGUCUGGACAAACAAAAUCUUGUAUUAAAGUUGAGGAUUUACUCUGAUAUUAUUUGUGACGAUUAACUAUCUUAUAUUCUUAAAAUACGUCUACCUAGUUAAAUAAAACCUAUACAUAUAAUUUCAAAAACUUAUUCCCUUAAAUGCAUGUGUGAUUAAGAGAAAUAUCGAAAUAAAACCUAUAUAAAAUGUCAUGAAAUUAUUUCCUUAUUUGACGUGAGAUAUCGAAAUCAUCCUCCUAUAGACACAACAUCUUUACUGCAUGUGUCCUAUAGGAUUAUGGAGUUACUAAUAAACACCCUUUGAGGUUAGACGAAUAAAAUCUCAUUUUGAGGUUAAGGAUCGGUGUUGAUAGUAACAAUCCACUUCCUCCUAUGUACAAGUUAUUCACUUUAAGUAUAAAGGGCUUCCAUCGUUUUAAAAUACAUUUACUCGAUUAAAUAAAAUUUAUAUAUAUAAGGAACUUAUUCCUCUAAUCAAGUUGGUUUCAAAGCGAAUGAUGUUUACACAAAAGAGAGUGGAUCUUUAUACUAUUUUGGGUGUAAAGAAUCUCAUAUUAAGGUUGAGAAUUGAUAUUGAUAUCAUUUAUAAUAACUCACUUCCUCCCAUGUACAUAAUAUUUAUUCCAAGCCUAAAAAGUUUUGCGAACAUCAUUCCCUUAACCAGUAUGGCUUCAAAGCAAAUAAUAUUCAUACAAAUAAAUAAAUAAAAUAGCAUAUCCUUACACCUAGUAACGAAGAGUCUCAUUAACAUUUUGGAUCAAAAGACUAGUUCAAUCAACACUUUUUUUUUUCCACUUGUUUUUAAAAGAAUUGAUAUAGAUAGGCUCCAUAGUAAAUCCCAAUCUAAUCAGCCUUCGUCGACAUGGCAUCCACAUUGGUUGAGGGAUGUAAUUUUUUUGCAACAAGCAGAAAUUGCGGGUAACGUUUCUUUAAGUUAUGUUUGGUUCCUCAAAAGUACAAAGAAAAAUGAUUUUCUCAUGUUUGGUUAUCCUAUAAAAUAUUCCAAAGAAAAUUAAAUAUAAUUAAAAUUAGUUAGAAACUUAUGCAUUUUAAAAGUAUUUAAUCUUUAUAUUAAUGAAUUAAAAUAAAUAAAAUGAGUUUGAAGUAACAAAUAAAAAUAAUUUAUCAUCUUUAACUCUAUUUUUUAUUUUCCUUUACUUUUUACUUUUCCUCUCUAUUUUUUUUCCUUUGUAUUUUCACUCAAAUUUUUCAAGAACCAAACACAACCUUACCUUUUCAUUUUUUUAAAUUACAAAUUGAAAUAAAAACUUAGAAAAACUAAAAUAAAUACUAUUAUUUAUAUAUAUAUAUAUAUAUAUAUAUAUUAAAUUGAAUAAAGAUUUAAAAAAUAUACUUCUUUCAAUCUUGAAUUUUUUUCUUGAAAAUUAAUUAAUUAAAAAAAGUAAGAAACUAAUUUAUUUUUCUAUGCUUUUAUCCUUUUUUUACUAGGGAAAUAAUGUUCAAACUAGUGAAGAAAAAAGAUUAAACUUUAAGAUAAAAACCUACCUGACCCAUUUUUUGAAGUGGGGGGGGGUGGGGGGGCGGGAGAAUUUUCUUCUCCUUUUGCAUGACAUUUGUGGAAGAAGGGAGGGGGGACCUUCCCAUGCACGGGACAAACGGCAUAGGCAACUGGCCGAGGGCAGGGCUGCGGGGAAGCCAUGCUGGCUGACGGGAGGAAUAGGAGAGUGGGUAUAGCUGCAGAGAGAAAAAAGUGAGAGGGAGAGAGUUCUGGGGAGUUGGAGGGGAACGCACUCUGGAGGGGGCGGACGAGGAAAGAGGGAGCUAAGACCAUCUUCACCCUGAAAGUUCAGGUCUGGCCAUUUUCUUAAAUCCCAUUUUCAUUACGUUGUUCUUUCUUUUUUGUUGUUUUGCUUAGAUUGCACUUGAUUUCCCGGCAUGAACUGCCGAAGGGGGAAGGCAUGGAGGGACCACAAGAUGGUUUUAACCUCUAGGAAGUCAUGAGGGUGCUUUAACACACCCAUUCCUUCCCCUUGCUUGGUUAGCUGAUAUCUAGUUGGCUCUAUCCUCUUUCAAACCCCAUGCAUGGCUACCCCUGUAACCCCUCAAGCUCCUCUCCUUCUGUAAUGGCCGAAGGUUCACCUGGCGCCACCUGCAUGCCUUCUCCGCCGCCGUUGAAGCCAAAGGUUGCAUCUCCGCUCCUCUGCGUCCUCCUAGACAACCCCCGCGAUCGUCACCCUGCCCAUCAAGUCGCCCGCUGCCGGUCGUGGAGUCCCCCACCAUUCUCCUCAUCCAAGCCCAGCUUGGCCUCAUCGGACCUGUUCGCUGUGCUGUUGGCCCUGCGCCAGGCGUGACGCAACCCCGGAUCUCGUGCCCGUCGGCGCCCCAGUCACCUACACCGCCCACGGCUCAUCCGGCCGUGCUGAGAAUUCAGCCAUUGACGCCGCCCUCUCAUCAUGAUGAGAGACCCGCCACCCCCACCGCUCUGUCAUUCCCGCCUUCUACAUCGGCGGCGCUCGUGCCAGGGACCUGGCGAGCCCUGUAACCUCCCACUUCGACAGCCGCCCAGCUUUUCGUCCCGCCGGCAACAGGAAGCUCCGUCCGAGGGUGAUGCCCAGGCGAGGGGGGGGGGGAAUAAGUUUGUGAGGGGAAUGGGUGUUUUGGGCUUGCUCAUGACGGCAUUGGAUUUGGGCUUGGGUUGGAGCACCAGGCCCAAGUUUGUGAUGAAGAUGGUUGCCUUGGGCUUGCCCAUGGCAAGGAUAUUGGGCUUGAGCAGGAGCCCAGGCCCAAGGAUGUUGAUGGACUCCCCAUGCCAGCCACCCUCGUGGCCCAAGUCCAUGUUGAGCUAGCUCAUUUGGCUGCCUCAAUUCUAAAAAAAUCUCUAUACCUCUAAUCGAUAAAUUUACUACAUUCUAAACUUUACAUUUUAUUUUCAAAACUUAGGUCCUUAAGUAAUUUUUCAAAAAUCUCAUGUCUUAAUUUAAUUUUUCAAUAAUUCGUUUAAAUCUUAUUUUCAUCAAUUAGAAUUAUCAUCCCAUAUUUAUCUAGUUAUUUAAAGUCUAAUCCUUCAAAAAUCCCAUAUCUUAAUUUAUUUUUUCAACCCUAAAAAUUCUACAAUUCGUUUAAAUCUUAUUUUCAUCAAUUAGAAUUAUUAUCUCAUAUUCAUCUAUUUAUUUAAAGUCUAAUCCUUCCAAAAUUUCAUGUCUUAAUUUAAUUUUUUCCAUCCUAAAAAUUCUAAUCUUAUUUUCAUCAAUUAUAAUUAUUAUCUCAUAUUUAUCUAGUUAUUUAAAGUCUAAUCCUUCAAAAAUCCCAUAUCUUAAUUUAAUUUUUCAAUAAUUCUUUUAAAUCUUAUUUUCAUCAAUUAGAAUUAUUAUCUCAUAUUCAUCUAUUUAUUUAAAGUCUAAUCCUUCAAAAAUCUCAUGUCUUAAUUUAAUUUUUUUUCAUCCUAAAAAUUCUACAAUUCGUUUAAAUCUUAUUUUCAUCAAUUAUAAUUAUUAUCUCAUAUUUAUCUAGUUAUUUAAAGUCUAAUCCUUCAAAAAUCUCAUGUCUUAAUUUAAUUUUUUAAUAAUUCGUUUAAAUCUUAUUUUCAUCCAUUAGAAUUAUUAUCACAUAUUUAUCUAGUUAUUUAAAGUCUAAUCCUUCAAAAAAUCUCAUGUCUCAAUUUAAUUUUUCAAUAAUUCGUUCAAAUCUUAUUUUCAUCAAUUAGAAUUAUUAUCUCAUAUUUAUCUAGUUAUUUAAAGUCUAAUCCUUCAAAAAUCUCAUGUCUUAAUUUAAUUUUUCAAUAAUUUGUUCAAAUCUUAUUUUCAUUAAUAGAAUUAUUAUCCCAUAUUUAUCUAUUUAUUUAAAGUCUAAUCCUUCAAAAAUCUCAUGUCUUAAUUUAAUUUUUCAAUAAUUCGUUCAAAUCUUAUUUUCAUCAAUAGAAUUAUUAUCCCAUAUUUAUCUAGUUAUUUAAAGUCUAAUCCUUCAAAAAUCCCAUGUCUUAAUUUAACUUUUCAAUAAUUUGUUUAAAUCUUAUUUUCAUCAAUUAGAAUUAUUAUCACAUAUUUAUCUAGUUAUUUAAAGUUUAAUCCUUCAAAAAUCCUAUGUCUUAAUUUAAUUUUUCAAUCUUAAAAAUUUUACAAUUCGUUUAAAUCUUAUUUUCAUCAAUUAGAAUUAUUAUCUCAUAUUUAUCUAUUUAAUUAAAGUCUAAUCCUUCAAAAAUCUCAUCUCUUAAUUUAAUUUAUCAAUCCUAAAAAUUCUACAAUUCGUUUAAAUCUUAUUUUCAUCAAUUAAAAUUAUCAUCUCAUAUUUAUCUAUUUAUUUAAAGUCUAAUUCUUCAAAAAUCUCAUGUCUUAAUUUAAUUUUUCAAUCCUAAAAAUUCUAAAAUUCGUUUAAAUCUUAUUUUCAUCAAUUAGAAUUAUAAUCUCAUAUUUAUCUAUUUAUUUAAAGUUUAAUCCUUCAAAAAUCCAACGUCUUAAUUUAAUUUUCAAUUUCAAAAACUUCCACUACUCAUUUUCUAUUCUUUUAAAAUGUUAUUUCCAUUAAUUAGCAUUAUCAUUCCAUAUUUAUUUAUCUAUUCUAAUCGUUAAAGUUUAAUUCUCCAAAACCCAACUUCCAAAUCUAAUUUCCAAAUCUCAAAAGCUCCAUUGUUCAUAUACCGCUGUCUAAUUAUUAUUCUCGUUAUUAAUGUUAUCACAUCCAUUUAUUUAUUCAGUUAUCCAUAUACCUAAGAUCUUCUCUAAAUAAAUUUUCAAGCUUUCAAUCUCUAAAUUUAAAUCUCUCAUCCCUAAAAUUCCAUCUUUCGCAAUUAUUUACCUAAUCUUUAUUAUUUCACCAUCGUUAUUAUUCCAUUCAUUUACUUAUUCACUCAUUCACUUAUCCACUCAUUUAAAAUCCCAAACUCUCCAAUCAUUUUCAAAAUUCCAAUUUCGUUCAAAUUUAAUUUCUAAAAUUCUCGUUCUCACAUUUAAUCUCUGAAAGUCUGAUCUUCAAAUAAACUCUAAAACUCCAAUUUUCCAGUAAUCUUCGAGAUUCCAAUUUUUCAAAUAAAUUUCAAAAAUCUAAUUUUCUCUCAAAUAGUUUUAAUUCUACUCUGGUUUUCAAACGAUCUUAUGCUCCUCUUGAUUUCAAUAAACACAAAUAAAUUUUUCAUAAUUCCAGAAUAAUGGAGUCUGUAACAUUAAGUCAUGCAAAAUAAACGGGCUUUAGUGGGGGCUCAACAUGGGCAACUUUAUGAUUGAUUGAUUGAUUAUUUGAUUUGAUUAUCAUACAUGAUUGAUUUAUCCUACUCUCUAACAUGCAUGAGAUUAUUCCUAAAUUGUGCACUAACCCUCUCUAUUGAUAGCGCAUGGUGGCUCGUUGCCCAGGUAUGUACCUACUUUCCCUCUAAUCGUUGUCUAUACAUGUUCCGAUUCUUAUAUGUGCAUGAUCAUUCAAGAUAUUCAUUGAUUUACUCAUUAAUUGCCACAUCAGACUGUACAUUCCCGAUAAGUAACCUGACCCCCGAGCCCGAUCCGAUUUUUCGUAGAUCACCUUUUCCAAAAUAAGGAGUCACACUUAGGGUUUUCUUUCUUAUUUUGUUUACCCUUUUAAAAUAAAACAAAAAUAAGUGGUGACUUCAAAUCAUUUUUCUUAAUUAAUAAAUUUUUUUUUUUUUUAAAGAUAAAAAUCGAGCUCGCCAUCGAGUGGGAAACGCAUGAGCCGAAAUGCAGGGUCCACACUACCAUUUUUGUAAUCUUAAAAAAAAAAAUUACAUUGAAUGUCAAGUUAGAAACAUAGAUAAGAUUGAGAAAAAGGCAUAAGUUAAAAAAGGAAAAAAAAUCACAAAAUAAAAACCUAAUUUUAUAAAAACAAACUUAAAUUAUUUUUAAAAAUUUCUUAUUUUGUGAUUAUUUUUAUGUGAAUUUGUGGUAACACUUUUUCUUUGGUCCAAAACUGCGGGAAAAAGGUAGCAUCUACCGUGGGUCUGUAAAUUUUGCAUAAAUGAAAUGCUUCCCGAGCCUCCACAAAACACUAAACCUCCAAUGUAAAUCAUAGAAUGAAAUGUGGCCCCAAGGAAAAUUUAACUUGCAUUCCGGGGUCUGCAAAAGUAGCAACACAAUAAAGAGGUAGUUCUUUAUGAAAUAUGGUUGUUAUGUACAAAGAUGGAACACCACAUACAGCGCAUGGGCUAUCUUUCUUAAGUCCCCAACUUCUACUUCAAAUUUCAUGAAGCCUUCCCGCAUUAGGAGCACUAAAAAAUAAAAGUAAAGAUCAAAAUAGAAAAUGAAAACCUUGAAACAACCCACCAGCUUCUUCUCAUUUGAUGUGGGCAUUAGCAGGCCCAGCAAUUCAAUCAUAUCACCCAAACAGUAUUUGAGUAUUCAUUGCAUUGGCCCACUCCACUCUACAAUCACCAUACCUUCUGCUGUUCCACAAAAAAAUUGAAAGACUUAGUAAUGCCCAAAUUCAGGUGAUAGCAGACAUGUAAGCUUUUGAAAGGGAAUUUGAUUAAGGUUGGUUCUCUCAUUUCUCAGCUCUUAGUAAUAGUACGUUUGCCUAAUCACCCAUCUGAAAUUGAACUGAACCAUAUCGAUCGCUGUAGAUUGAUAUCAUUUUAGUGAAGUCCGGGUUCAUACCUUUAAUGUCAUGUGUCAUUCACAAGCAAUUUUGGUGUCAAAGCUGCUGAGGCAGAUUGCAAAUGCCUGGAAAGCAGAGAUUGGAUACCGGUAAUCCAUGGUAAAUAGAUCCUUCCCCACUUUUCCGAACUGGAGGAUGAUCUUCUCAUGUUGCUGGCCUGCAGGUCCAUCCUCUGGAGAAGCCACCAGCUGAAAGUUUUUCACUGAAGCAACUGUCACCCGUCCAUGGAAGUUCAAACACCAGCACUGGAGCUGCUCGUGCCACCUGGGAGCCUUGUUCUUCAACACCAGCGCUCCAUCCUUUUUAUCGGCUAAUGGUUCUGAUAAAGAAUUUUCCACACUGUGUGAUUUCGAGCGGAAAAAUGAGAAGGAUGGAAAGACAUCUGGGUUGCUGAGUCGAAUCUCUGUCUGUGUGGGGGUCACUCCCCCUGGUUCAAUAGCUGAGGCAGGGAUGGAAUCCAUGCUACACUGCAUUCUCCUUGGACCCCUGGUCGUUAUCCAAAGAAAAAAAAUUAUUAUUAGCUAGUUGGUUUUUGAAAGUUCUGGCACAGCUGCUGACACCACACCCACAUGGGAUGUCAGGUGGGAUAGCUACUGUAAAUAAGUGAAGCUAUUAAUGGAAUUUUUUAACAAGUGAUAUCUCUUGGAAAAUCAUCUAUAGGAAUAGGAAAGUUUCACAAAUCCCUUUGGAAAAAGGAUCUCCACAUAUAUGUAUUUAUUAACUUAUUUCAGACAUCAAACUCCAAAUUACUUGGCAUAAAUACUCACCUAGAACCCAGCACAUUCACUUCAUAUGAGAUGUGAGCUACUGGAUAGCUUCCAGCAGGGACUCUGGGUGAGACUUGUUUCAAACCCACCAGCCUAGUGGAGCGAUUUCGCAUAAUCUUGGCUCCAGAAUGAGGUGGCUGCCCAUCAUAGACUGUGAACUUGGUUCCUAGAAAAUUUGAUCUGGUCAAAGGAGAGAAAAAAAAGGGUGAACUUGGAGUCCAUGAUAGAACAAAAACUGGUCAUAUUUUAAGAAGUUAGAACACACCUCAAUUUUCCAAUAUAGGUGCUGCUCCCCUUUGACAUGUCAUCAGCAUACAGAGAAAUGAUAUAAUCUGUGCAGGUGGUACGUCUGUACUUACGCGCAGCCAAGAGGAACUUUCCAUCUUCAGUUAGUGCUGUUUCAGAGACCGGACAAAAGCAAAAGUGUCAAUAUUCAAAGCUCAGUUAAAGAGAACUUUAAAAAGGAAAGAAGGGCAUCUCUCCCCCAAAUGCUUUCCAAAAAUUUUGGAAAGCAGGAACUCUAGCAUUUAAUCAAAGCAAUUAGGCAUCCAAACUCGCCAAACACGGUCAGAUCAAUGCAAAUGUGAACAAUGAAAUUUUGGUGAACGCAUCCGAUAGGAAAAACAAAAACCCAUACUUAUACUGAGAAUGCCACUGCUCACCAUUAGUUAAACUGAGGUAAAGAUAAUACGUCUGAGCAGACCGAUUCCGUUUUAUAAAACACUUGAGUAGAGAUUCUCUUGGACCAGGCUGCAAAAUUAACCACAACUGUUACAUAGCGUACAGACAAUUCUGAAGGUUUAAGAAUUGCACACCCCAUAACUAAAUUCCUGAACCCAAAACCAGAAUUGGAAAACAAAAAUCCAAACAAAACAAUUGAAAGUGCUCUGAUCAAUCCACAACUUCUGCAUAACCCACCCUUAACUUGUAAACAUUACCAUAAAUCCUAUACAUAUCACAUCAUAUCUCAAGAACAGCUAAGCUUUCCGAACAGAGAGAGGGAGAGAGAGAGAGGGGAAGGAAGAGGGAGAGAAGGUAAAAAAAAAAAUCUUAUGAAACUAAGCCUUAAAGGCUCAUAGAAACAUUUAUCAAAGAAAUCAAACAACACUCCAGAAAAAUUAGCAAGCUGUUGAAGCCAAAGCUGUCCCCUGCACUCUACUACUAAUUUUAGCUUAAAAUUUCGAGCUAAUUUUCCGAAUUCCACAAUUGCUUGUGCCUUGAAACAAUCAAGGAUAUGCUAAAUCCGUUUGGUACAGAAACAAACUAAGAGAUUUCUGAUUUUUUCUGGGAUUUUUCCCUAAAACAUUCUCAAUAUUGAAAGAAAAAUGAAUCGGAGUUCAGCUCAAAAAAUUCACCCAUAAUUCACAAUUCCCGUAUCCAAAAAAGACAAGCCAAAACUCAUAUUCAAGUUCACAACUCGUUCUUCGAACAACCAGAAGGCAUAGAAAAAUUGAAGCAACAAUGAAUGAACAUCCAGAAACGAAUCAUAAAACACAAAAACCUGCUUGACCGAAAUCGGAAAGGUCAACGAGGCGGAGACUUCCGGCGUCUUGACGAGUUCCUGAGUGAUACGGCGCCAGCUCUUGCAGACUCCGGCGCAGGCGACCACAUUUUUCCGGGAAGGCCAGGUGGUGUCAGACGCCUCAAUUCUGAUAAGCACCUCUCUGAGCAGCUCCUCAGGCAUCUGAGACCAACAGCUCUGCUCCAACCCAUCAACCCACUCGUCUUGAACCACACGAUUCCACCUACCCCUCAUUUUCCUUCCCAAUUCUCAGACCCCAGAACCCAGCUUUAAUCCCAGAAACAAGAAAACCAUUCUUUUCUUCAAAGAUUGAGCUUAUGACACCAAAAUGUCUGUCGCAUGCUCGUAAGCACGAGAAAUUUUUUGGAGAAAGGUCUAAAGGGUUCCGGUAACCAUUAACAUCAGAUGAACAGCAAUUGCAAAUGAUAUGAGGAGAGAAAUUUCUGGGAUUGAGAAGAUAUUUGAGAGAGAGAUGUGGUGAGACUGUUAUCUUUUGAAUGCACUCGUUGAGGGAGGGUGGACCCGUUGGUUAGGUUUAAGGGUGGACCUGGUGGGUUAGGUUUAGUGCUCAACCAAAUUUAAUCUAUAUUUAAGUAUUUUCUUUUCUUUCCUUAUAUAUUUCACAAUUUUUAUCUCUUUUAAAAAAUAAAUAAAUCCAUUAAAAUUUUCAUUUUAGUGAUAUUGAGGGCAUGUUUGGUUGUUGUUUUUGAAAACUGUUUUUUGUGUUUAAAAAACAAAAUUGUGUUUGAAAACUAAAUUUUGAAAAACAAUUUUUGUUCUCAAAAAUAAAAAUAAAAAUGUAUAGUUGAGUUGAUAAAAAAGUUUUUUAUAAUAAGUAAAAUAAAAAAUAUGUUUAAAAAUUAUUUUUUUAAUUAAUAAAGUAUUUUUUUCCAUUAACUUGAUAUUAUAAAUAUAUAAAUAAAUUUCAUAUGCAUAAUCCAUUUAAAUUUAAAAAAAUUAUUCAAUUUUGAAAUUUUUACACCAAUUAUAAUUUUCUUAAACAAAUGAUGACUUUGUCACCGUGUGUAAGUAUAUUGAUUUCAAUCAUUUAAGGAAGAAGAAAUGAUUUGUGGAUGGGAAUGGUGAUUGGGUGGAGCUCAUCUUUGUGAAAACACAAAAAAAGAAAGCUAAGAAAACACAAAAAUAAGGAAAAUAAAAUACAAAAAACAAUCUAUUAUUUGAACCGUGACAAAAUAAUGAAAAUAUUUUUUUAUUUUUCUCAAAAGAAAAGGUUUUUGAAAAUAAAAAAUACAAAAAACAAAAAUACACCCUCUUCUCCAAAUAAGUUUUUGUGUUUUUUAUUUUCAAAAAUAAAAAACAAUUAUUGAAAAUAGGAACCAAACAAACCUAAGCAUUUGGGGUCGUUUUAUUACGCUUGGAAAAACACAUCAAGUAUUACAUCCAACAUCAAAAGACUCUAAAAUUUAUUUUCUUAAUUUUAAAAUUAUAUUAAUAAUAUAUGCGUCAAAUUUAUGAUUAAAUUUUUUUAAAAAAUGGAAAAUAAAAAUAAAUAGCGGAAUAGUGAUAAGACUUGUCUAACCCCAUUAAGUGAAUGAGCUGGAAAGCUACAGCACAAUAGAGGGGGCCACCUGAACCCGAGGCUUCGCAGCCCAUAUAAUUAUUAUUAGUAUUUUAUUUGUGGAUGUCCACUUCUCCACGCGGAUUGUCUGUGAAUUUUACAAAGCCAUUGAACGGGAAAUGCCAAAAAUUUAAGAAAGGAGAAGAGGGUAGUCACUGUUUGGCAUUAAGCAUAGGAUGAUGGAAGUUCUCUACUUUCUAGACACACCUCCUCUGGAAUUAACGCACGCCUUCCUAUUCUCUUGUCAAAUCUCCAUCCAUCGCUUAGCUGCGCCUUGUUCACUAUUUUAUUCUCCGUUUGGGACAAAAAAAAGGGUUUCCUUCUGUAAUUGCUAUGGGUGGUGGAAAGCUCAUAAAAUGAAUGAAGGAUAGCUUCAAUAAGAAAGAACUUAAAAAUGGGAGAUGUCGGGUUUUGUGGAGCCUAAUUUUGUUUGAUUCGAUUUGACUAUCCAACCCAAAUAAUAUUGCAUGAUUUUUUUUAAUGGAAGAUUUACUAAGACUUAGUCCAUGAAGCAAAGGUUUGGACUCGUUUAGCCCAUUAUGAAAUCGCCUUUUAUAAUUAAGGUUUUUUAAUAUGAUAUUAUUGUCAUGUUUUAUAUAAAGAGAAAAAUAUUAUAGUAAAAAAAAUUAUACUUUGUAUUCUUUCUGAUAAUAGUAAUAUCCUUAUAACUCUAUGUACAUAGAUAAAUUAUCGAAACACAUAAAUAUUAUCUCGUAUAUAUGAUUAUUUUUUUUGACAUGUGUGUGUGUUUUUUUUUUUUUUUUAUCACUUAGGAAUUCGGCUUUAUUCUUCAGGAGAGAAGAAGGGAGAGGGCGGAAGGGGGUGUGUCUAUGACUAAUUAGUAUUGUCAGACUAUCUUGUUUGUGUCAAAUCAAAGUCCCCACAGGACUUGUUGGCAUCAUCAGGACUUUACGGGUUACGGGUAGUGAGCACGUAGACCACUAAAGCCCCAUUAGACGAUUCUUUGGAAAACCUCCGUCCUGGGCUAUAAAAUAGUAUUACAUGCCAAAAGGGAUUAUUCUUGCUUAUCCCGUAGGCUUGCAGUGGGUGUGAAAAGGGACAAACGGGGGGAACAGCUAUUUUAUAAGUUCGAUAAUAUUUGGAAGCUGUUCUACCAUAACAAUAUUUUAUAUGGAGAGAGAGAACUGGCUUUCCCCCAAGUACCUACCAUACGCGGUUUUGGUCAUGACUCAUGAUUGUACUUCAUUUUUCUCUAAGGCUGAAUGCUGUUUGUUAUAAAGGUAUAAGAAACACAUGUUAAAAGAUGAGAUCAUCAAGUGGCAAUUUAACGAACAGUUAAAAUGCAGACUUAAAAUGAAAAGCGACCAAUAAAUCUUUACACUUUUUUCCUGGUUAUGAGUCGCGUCAAAAGCCUAUGAAUAGGUUUGGCUACCGAAUACGAUGACGGAUGAACCUUUCAAUCGUAAAAGCAAAAGAAAAGUGAAACAUUGUACGAGAAAAAAAUAUAUAAUUAAAUAUUUAAAAUUUUUAAAUAAAAAAUAUUAAAUUAUGUUGCUAAAUAUGUAAAAAUAUCAUGUAUGAAGUAAAUAAUGUUAUUCAUGAAAUAUAAAUAAAUAUAAAAGAAUAUACUUAAAACAUUGAAAAUACAAUAUAUAAAACAAAGAAACACUAAGGAUAUGUUUGGUUGAUAUUUUCAAGAAUUAAAAAAAAAAAAUGCUAAAAACUUGUUUGGUUGAAAAUUUUAAUUUUGUUUUUCUUAUUCUCCGUGUUCUCAAAAUUAUAUUUUUUAGAGAACAAAAAAAUGGUGUUUUGCCCAUUUUUUUAUUAUAUGCAUAACAAAUAGGCCAUAGAGAGAUCAUCAGUUCUUUGUGUGUUUUUUUUUUUUUUUUUUUUUUCCAGAUAUGUGCUUUAUUUUUAUCAUGUGUUGUUAGUUUUUUUUUUUUUUUUUUCGUUUAUAUUUUCCUGUUUGGAUGCUAAGAAAAGUGGGGAACGAUAAUGAAAACAAAAAAAAAAUUCCUGAUUUUUCCCAUUUCUCCAUUUUGAUUUUUCUUGAGUUGUUUUAUUCAAAACAAAAAAAAAACAAAAAACUUGCUUAAGGACAAAGAAAAGGAGUUGCUUUGAGAGGGUUUUGCAGGUGACUUUUUCUCAGUUUCGAAGAAAAUGAGAGAUAGCUGAAGGUGAGGGUAGUCAUUUGUAAAUAAGGUAAUAAUAUUGGGUAAACACUUUUCUUAAUAGUGGAAUGGGCAUAGAUAUUUUGAAGGGACAUGGUUGAUAAAAAAAAAAUUCAUGUGAUAAAAUCUAGGGAGAAUUACUAAAAAGGGUAGGCCGGAAAAAAUAAUUACUAUGAAGGCUCACUCUUUUAGAGGACAAUCUUACCCUUGAAUAUAUUUUCUAUAUUAUUUAUAAAUAAAUUGAGAUUGUCAAUGAUGUGGAGCCCAUAUAUGAUGAUAAGUACAAAUUGAUAGGUAAUCAACAGUACAUUUCUCGGCUUGAAAAAAUUACCUGUUCACUUUUAAACAAUCAAAUGACUAUUUAAAAAUUUGCAUUUUUUUUCAAAAAAAUUGAGAUUUUUUAAAGAACCUUGUAAAAAAAAAUAAUUUUCAAUUUCUCAUAAAUAAAAACCAUAUCCUAAAGUUAUUAUAUCGUUUUAUAUAUAAAACAUACAAUUAAAAACUUUGUUAUCAUAAUAUAAUGAAUAAUUAUUUUUUACGAGCACUCAUCAAUUGAAUAAUAUAUAAAUAUUCAAUUGACUAACACACACCUAUUAAAUGGAAUAACUCACAAUUAUUCAUGGGGUAAUAUAGCACGUGAAAAAAAUUAAAUAAAAAUAAAUAAAAUUAUGUUGUAAUAUAUUGUAAUGAUAAUGUAUUUAUAUUGUAAGUAUAAUACAUUUAUGUCGUACCUAUAUUUCAUUACAAAAGUAAUAAUUCUAAAAAUGUUUAUUCAUAUUCUAUUAGUAUUAAUACAUCGUAUCAAUCUCUUAACAACAUUUAUUUAGUGUUUUGAAAUUAUUUAAUAAUUUUUGUAUAUAUAUAUAUAUAUAUGAAAAACUACGAGUCUCGUGAACUCAAAUUAGUAUUUCAUUUGGUUUCAGAAAUUAUUUAUGAUAUAGGUAUGUUGUGAAAUAUAGUACGAUCUUUAUAAAAAAUUCAUAGAUUUCCUAAUUAGGUUUUAUUGUAAUGUAAGUGUAUUUAUAUUGUAAUUAUAACAUAUUUUUGUUGUACCUGUAUUUUAUAAUAAAAGUAAUAAUCUUGAGAAUCACCUUUUAUACCUUAUUAAUAUUCAACAUAUCAAAUAUAUUAACAUCAUAUUGUUGCAAAGGAAAAAAUAUCAUAUAAAUUUUUUUAAAAUUAUUUUAUUAUAAAAAUAGAAAAUGAUUAAACAUUCUCUAUCAUUUUCUUAUUCUUUUUAGAGAAUCUGAAUGAAAAAUUAAACAUUUUAUCUUCCUUGAAUUUAAUACAAAAACAUAAUUUAUUAAUUUAAAAUUAUAAUAUAUAUAUAUAUAUGAAAAAAUCAUCAUUUUUAUUAUAUAAUUAUAAAACUUAUUUUUUUCUUAAUAAAAUUAAAAAUUAGAAUAAAAAUUAAAAAUGUAAAAAAACAAUAAAUGAUAUUUUGAAAAUAUUUUUUAAAAGUAUUUUUGUUUUAAAUAACAAAUUACAUAUAAUUGUAAGGGUUAAACCCAAAAUUUUGAUUUAAAAUUCGAAUGUCAAUCAUUACAAUAAAUGUGGGCUUCAUGAAUCAUAUAUAUUGACAAAUUAAGUUAAGUGCUUUAAAUGCUUUGAAUUUUAAAAGUUUUAGUUAAAUGGCAGUUUUGGUAUAUUCAACCUUUCUUGCAUUUAUUUUUAUGUCCUAUUUAUUUUAUUUACAAGCUUGUUAGGUAAAAAUUAAAUUAAUUCUUUUUAAAAAAAUUUAUCUCAUCUUAAUAAAAUAUACUUUAAUUUUUAAUAAAAUUAAAGAUUAAAUCAAGAAAAAAAUAUUAAUAAAAAUGAUUUUAUAAUGUUUGAUUUAUUUUAAAAAAUAUAAAAAUAUUCUUAUUUUAAAAUUAAUAAAAUAAAUAAUUUUUUAAUUUAAAUGUUCUAUGUAUCUAAAAAUUAUUUAUAAAUUUAUAAUAUAAAACAUUUUAUUAAUUGAAAAAUAUAUAUAUAUAUUUUAAACAUGUUUUAUAUUUUACUACUUAUAAAAACUUUUAUAUUAACUCAAUCAAACAUAUAUAUUUUUUUUUUUUGAGAACAAAAACUAUUUUUCAAAAUUCAAUUUUCAAACAUAAAUUUUUUUUCUAAAAACACAAAAAACUAUUUUUAAAAACUAUUCUCAAAAAAGCAAAGAGUCCUAACCAAUUUAUGUUAUCUCAUUUUUAUCACAUGUUGGGAAAUCAGAUCUGCAAACAAUAGUAAUAUUUGAAGUUUAGAGACAGAAAUGUAAAGGUUGAUUUUAUGCGGAUGACCUCGAUUUUUACGAAAUGACAGGCGGCGGCCGUCCUUGCUAUCUUGUGAUACGACUGUGAAUAGCCUUCAAAACAGUCAAUCCCUGUAACAAACAAAUAAGUGGGCGUGGGGGGAUAAAUCAAAAUAUUUGAUGAACAUGGACAAUAUAUAUAUAUAAUAUAUCCAGUUAUGACAAUUUGCCAGCAAAUAGCAUCCUACCACAUAUCAUCAGGAAUAGCUGUUUUCCUUUUGGUUCCUGAACUAAAAAGCCGCAAUAGAACAUAAUAGAAGUGAGACAAAAAUUGUCUAAGCACAAAGACUAAGAGGUUGUCCAUUUCUGUCCUUGUCAACCCUCUGUUUUCAGCCAUGUGCAUAAUUGCUGGGGACAUCUUUCCAAGUGCUGUCCACAGCUCUCAAUUGAUUUCUCAUUGAAUUAUAGCACUAUCUCAACCCCACCAAACCUCCAGUACCUACAACCAAAAAAAGACGUUUCCCUAGCUCUUGCCUCUCACCCCUUCGCAAGUGCUGGCUUUCAUCAAUUGGAUAGAUACUAUAGAGUAACGAAACAUCAAAAUCUUCACCAAAAAGUAAAGUCCCUUUCCUGCACCUUGGGUAUAGUCUUUCUUUACAAGAAGAUGAACCUGUAGAAUGUAAGCUAUGGAAAUUAUUUUCACAAAGCAAAUAAAAAUUUAUGUCUAAUUGUGCAUUAACUUGUGAAAAUUCAUAAUCCAAGAAAUAUAUCUACUCUGGCCUACUAACAACUUAUCUACACUUUUGAGUUUCUAUGCUUUUUGUUAACAGCACAACCUGCCCCAAUGAAAGGCAUCACCAGACCCCUUAAAGAACAAUAGCAAAGGCUAAAUUAGAGGCCCAUUUGGAGGUAAUUUUUAGAGCUGGAAACACUUCUUCAUACUUGGAAUUGCUUUCUUACAAAAGUUAAAUGUUUGGCACAUUUUUAAAAAUCUAGAGAAUCACUUAAACGAUUUCAAGAUCAUCAAUUAGGGUGUGUUUGGUAAUGUUUUUAUUUGAAUUGUUUUUAGAGUAAGUGUUUUUGAAAGAACUAUGUAUCAAGUGUUUCUUCAGGAAGCACUACAAGUGAUUUUUCAACUUUUUAAAAAUAAUUUCUAAAUUUUAUCAAAUGAUUGAUUUUUCUUCAAAAAUGCUUUUAUGCUAAAAGUGUUUCCUAAAAACACUACCAAAUGGAUACUUAACAGGUGAUUCUUAAAAAAAAAAAUCUAAUUUUUGUUAUAUAAUAUAUUACUAAUAACACUAUCAAAAAACCUUUAUAGUUUAUAUCUACAUGCUAAGAGAUUGUCUCUAAAUGCAUUUAUAAUAGAAGCACUAUUAACAAAAGUACUACAAACUAAAAGCACUUUAAUCAUAAUCACUCACAUCUUUAAUCUAGGACUAAUAAAAAACAUGUAGCUUUCAAAGAGAUAAAUUUAUGCUUUGUUUGGAUAUUAGAAAGUCUUUUUUUUUUUUUUUUUUUUUUUCUGAUAAGUAAACACUUGGAUAUUAGAAAGUUUGAGAGAAAAAAUAAAAGGAAAAAAGUAGAAGGAAAUAAAAAAUAAAAGGAAAAUACUAAAAAAAAAUUAAACUUAAUAAAUUUUCCUCAUAUGGCUUUCAAAAUUUAUUUCUUUUCUUCUCCUAUAUAAAGAACAAAGAAUUUGAAAAUGUUAAAUUUAUAAUUAAUUUUACUAUAUUUGAUUUUCCUUUGCAUUUUCAUGGUAAACCAAGCGAGAGCUUUUGUAUUUCUUGUUACUUUUUCCCCUUUUCCCAGCACUUUCUGUGAUCCAAAUAGAGCCUUGACAAUUCAAAGACAAAAAUACAUCUGUCUAAUAGCAAUCUAAAUCUGCAGGCAUAGCAAUUUUACUUAUAUUUGGUUAUUUCAAUUGAAUUUGAACUAAGAGACUUCAACUUCAAUGCAAGAAAACCAAAAACUAACAUUUUUGGAAUUUUUAUUUGUUAGAGGUGUGAACCACUUGUAUUAACGUAAAAAGAGGCAACUCACCUUUACAUGAUAAAAAGUCACACCAGAACUCCUGUUAUGUAACAGAAACACUUCCAUUAGGCUGCUGGAUGGUCCCCAACGGAGUCCCUACAAAACCACAGAAUCACUGCCUAUAAUCAGAAAUUUUUACCUCAUCUUGAUAGUAGUUCGGACUAAAAUUUAUAUGCAAAAUAAAAUGGGGAAAAAAAAGAGAGAAAUAAGUGGAUUUAUGAUGGUAUAUGAGAUCAAUUUGAUGGUAAUGACAGAUGAAGUAAUGACACUAUGAUGUGUUGAAACAUUGAGAAGAAAGUGGCAUAUUGAUAUAGCCUCUUCUCUGUAACAGCAACAAAUACCCCUUUGACCCAACUCACCAAGUCAUGCACAUACAGGCAGCUCCUAGGAGGAUUGUACAGCAUGGAGAUUGUAGAUCUUCCGAUAAAAAUUAUCAACUUUCUUGCAGUAAACAUAUGUUAUCAAAAUUUAAUGGAAACAUAUCCAGGUCCAAAAAACCCAUAUUACUAAUCAAAGAAUAUCCAAUGGUGGCAACAGUGAAUGCUAAGGGCCACACUGUUCUGAUUGAAAAAGAAAGGAAAGUAUAACAUCAGGCAUCAAGGAAACACAUGCGAUACAAACUCUGUUUCCCAGAUUGCAGAGUGUUCUGAAGAUCGCAUCAAAGAAGGGAUCCCAUAUUGUUAAAGAUACACAUGGAGAAGCCACUGGUGGAAGGGAAGCAUGUUGUUCUCUUAACUAUUGUUUUGGAAGAGCAGUAGGUAUGUUAGCCCAGCACUCACAGAAGAGGAAGGUUGACCUUGCAAAAGCAAAUCUUGACGUCAAGAUAUCCAACAGUCAACAGCUGCAUCAACUGCUAAUUUAAGCAAGGUGUUGGUAAGUGGGAACCCUACAUUAAUGAUCAAGUUAAGAAAAUUUCAUGGAUUUGGAAGGACACGUUUGGAAGGUAAUGAACACCCAGAUGCAUUUCUAGCUCAAGAAUGGCUUCAUGAACUGCAUUAAACUUACUUGGUCCACUAAUACCCCUAUUCAAGCAGGGGCUCAAAACCUCAGUCCAUGGUGUCAUGCUUUUUGGGUUGGGUUUAGUUUUAUCUUAAUUUUCAUUUUUACUUUUGGGUUUAGCUUAAUUGGUAGAAGGAAACUCUAUUUAGUUAAGAGGGUGGUUUAUGAAGAAGAGGAAGAGACAAUGGAGAAUGACUUGGUCAGGCUUAGCCUGGAGUAUUUGGAGAGAAAUUAGUGAAUUUUUAAAGGAGUUGAUCAUUCAGGAUUAAAUAAAGGAAUUGCUUUCAAAUUAUUGUUUUCUUCCACUUCUUUGAUUUAUUUGGGUUCUAUACUCUAUUUUAAUAUUUAUAGAUUGUUAUUACUGUCCUAGUUGUUUAAGUGAUCAUGUGAUAUUUUAAGAGUUGAACGGCUAGGAUUGUAAGGUGUGAGUAAAUUUUCAUCAAAUUAGAAAUCUACAAUUUUUUCUUUUUUCUUUUAAUAAGUAAAAAAGGAUAAUAUAUUAAAAGCGCUUGUAAAAUGGCCCAACAAAGUACACAUGGAGUAUAGACAAAACAAGCAAGAAGAAGAGAAGGAAAAGAGAGAGCAAACACCAACUGCCCUAACUAUCCGACCAACCCCAAGAAAGCUGAUGCCCCCCUUAAUCCAAACAUAAACGAAACCUCUCGACCAUCCUCACAAAACAGGUUCUGUGUCCCCAAAGCUCCUUCCCCUGACAAUGGCUGGAGACUUCUUGUAAUUAACCAAACACUCUAGUUUAUGGAUUUUCUGCUCAAAAUGGGAAGUCAAGGGAGCACUCCUCUUUCUACCUGAAACCUUGACCCCACAACCUUUUCUUUAACUCCAAUUUCUUCAGCAGGGGACUGAUCUCCUUUUCAAACCAUUCCAUAGGUAACCCUAAGAAGCUACUGAAAUUGACAAAAUUAGUGGGGAGGCUAUCCACACCAAACCAAUCCCCCGCCUUUCUACCCCCCCACCCCCUCUUUAUUAUAUACAAGCAAUCGCUAAGGGCUUAGGGGGCUCCACCUCCUUAGCCACAGCCUCCUCCUCCUUACCUGAAGGGUCCUUCUCAGCAUUUUUGGAAUACUCUUAACAAACUGUCAUUUUGCAACAACAUACUUAGCGGCUGGCUUGCCAGGUCCACAAACCCCAAAGAAGAGAGCGGGGAAAGCCUUGGAAACCUAUUCGCCUUCACCACAAGAGCUGUGUAGGUGAACACCACACAGGAACUCGUCGAGAUUGAUGUUGGCAAAGCCUCAAGCCUCACACGCCCAUCUUCAACGCAACUGUACCACGUCGUCUCCUUGAUCUCUGCAAAGAGAGCCCUGCCUUCAAGAAGCCUUUUUUUUUUCUUUUUAUAAGUCCCUCCCUUCAAGAAGCCUUAGCGAGCCCUUCUCUCCCUCAGUCAAAACCACUAAGCAACAACCCUCUCUUUUUUCUCUUAAACCCACCAACCCCACUCUCUGAUGUACAGGAACUUCCUUGGGCUUGACCCACUCUUAAAUCCUCCCCCACUUCAUUAACAGAAACUAAAUGGGCCUUUGAAGUAGUCAGUCCACAAAGGCUAUGGGCCUGAGGAGUAGCGCGGCCAUUGGGACUUUGGGCUCUCUUUGACCACUUACGGACAACCUUUAGGCCCCUAACUCAGCCCCACUAAAGACACCCUUAGCACAGUUUACAAUAACGGGAAGAGUAAAUGUUAUGAGGGUAACGGUUAAAGGAGGAACCUAAAAUUCUUGGAAGUGGAAAAAGAGAUGGUUUGAAAUAAAGAUGAGGUGCUCAGAUAGACUAAGAUAAAGAAAGCUUGGGGGCCACUCCUUUGCGUCUGUUUUGGACGUUAUGGAUGGAAAGAAAUAGAAGGUCAUUUGAAGAUGUUGAACAGCCAAAUCAAGCAAUCAAACCUUUCUUUAUAUGUAGCUUUUUGGAAUGGCUAAAGUGUAAUGACUGUCCCUUGACCAUGAUAAGCUUUGUAAAAUGGUUAAGCUAAGUGGGGAGAGGGAGGUUGUUUUUUGGUUUUCUUUCUUCUUUUUUGAUUACCUGAUGGCGCUUCUUCUACAUAUCUCGUGUACUUUUGGUACAUUGAUUUUCAGGCACUACUAAUAUAUUUUCUCCUUUUGCAUAUCAAAAAAAAAAAGGAGGAUGGACUGAAAUUAUGUGCACACACACUAUGCUUAACCAAAUCCCCUUAUAAAAUAAAUAGAACAGAAUAAUUUGUGGCAACAAUGGAGAUUUCUAAAAUUCCAUAAACCCAAUUGCAAACACCUUGCACUCAUCUUACCAGUUUAUUAUAUUAACUUAAGCUUAGUUGCCAAAGGCAGAGUUUCAGUACAUGAAGCAACAGCUAAAAUCAAAUAGAAAUUACCUGAGUUGCUGGCAAAGGAAUAAGGUUUUGAAAGAUAUUUGCUUUUUAUCGUUCCAACUGGAGCUGCAUGAGGCCUUAAAACAUUAUUAACAUGGACCUGAUUUGAAAAAUUCAUGGCUGGUGGGCAUCCCUCAGAUUUACCCAAGAAGACUUCUGAACUUUGCACAAGAACUUUAUCAGGAUUUUGCAUAGAAGGUAAGAAGUGUGUAUCUCUCUAUUUCCAAGAAAAAAUAGCUUUGAGUCAGUGAUUGCAUAUUAGUAUUCAUGUAAAGGGAGCAGAAUGAAGGGUUUAAUUUUAAUCUGAAACAAAAAUGCCAAUAGACAGCAUGCCUGCAUGUAAUUCAUGAUAUAAGGAGACCAAAUUAUAGAAAAAAGAAGUGAAAAUAGUUAAGUUGCACGGACUCCUAAUUGAAAUAUCAGCAAAGGGCAAAUGUCAUAUUCACAUUUAGUGUGAUACUCCUAAAUUUCUUAGUACAAUAACUAAUUUCUAACACAGAGCACCUCUCUAGCAGAAAAUUAUUUCAUUAUUAAUAUGAUGUUAUUACAAAAUUUAAAGAUAACAAGCGUUUGCAUUGGAGACACUGUAUUGAUAACGAGUAUGUAGUGGGUUAAUGCUAGGUCAUCCAGGGCAUGUUUGCCCUUUUUCACUUUCACUUUCAUUUGAGGUGUGACAGAGGGUGUUGCAAAUGCAAGAACAAAUUCAUCCUUAACAAUCCUUUUACUAUUGACAGCUGAAAGCAGAAGUAAUUGGUCUAAGCUUAUGAAAGCUAGCAUAGAUGAAAGUAAAAGAAUCAAGUAUGCAUAUACAUUUUUAUUGCAGGUCAUUACUACUUGAAGGCAAGAUUAACUUCUUGAGAGUAAUCAGAUGUUCAUUUACUAGACAUUCAAGAUUAAAUAUCAAAUGAACUUCUGGAGAUGCGAAUACAACAGUCAGAUGUAUCAGAAAGUGACAAUUGCAGUUGUAUAUUAAGAUUUCAAAUGCAACCUCUUUCACUCAUUCAUUUAGAUGUUUAGAACAGGCCACAUGACAAACACAGGGAUAUUAGAUCAUUCUGAGAAAGAAGAGUGACAAACCUUCUUCUCAGGUUGGUUAUCCAUUUGUUCAUGAGAAAAGUUCUUAGGAGAUGAAGCUUGUGGAACCAUAUUUCCCUGUAACACUUUUGGACUCACCAUAUCACUGCAAUGUCCCUCAUUUGAUGCAGCAAAGUAAAGAUGACUAAUUGCAGAACGAAGGCGAUGAUUUCUUUGAGAGUAAUACAUUUUGGUUGCAAGGGGAACAGGAACACCUGAUUUAGUUACCAGAAAGUACUCAGACUUGAGAAAUGAAAACACCAACUGCAUGAUAACAUUCCUGAACUGUAAUAAAGAGCAAAAGGUGCACGAUCCCAUAAAACUGAACAUGCAUAUGAUAUUACUCUAAGCUAAAUGAAGUCCAUAUUUCCCCUCUCAAUAUGAUUCAGCAUAAGAAAUGAGCAGGUUAUGACACAACCACCAGAAAAUACCAUUGGUUGACAAGCUGCAUUCAUGGUCUUGCCCAGGCUUUUGAUGGGCAGCCAAAUGAUCAUAAGGCCUUUCACUUCCUUCAAUUGAACCUUUUGGGUAUCCUGCGCCUGAGCACACGUAUGAGGAACAAAUGUCCACAUGAGUUUACAUACAUAACAGCAGCAAUAGAAAAGUCCAGCAAUGGUGCACAAAAGAAUGACGGAUAAUCAUAAUACCGAUUUAUGAUUGAAGUCUUGUCCAUAAAUCGAAUGUGAUUAAAAGAAAAAAAAAACUAAAAAUCAAAAUUGCUUAGGAAGUUGCAAGGAAAUAUUCAGCAAAUUAAAUCUGUCCUUACAGGUAUAUGCUCUCUGACUAGUUAUACACAUGGUUUUGUUCACACCAUACGCUGUUUCUGGACCAUCUGCUGGUGAUGGACGAUCAGUUGCUAUUCUCCUGCAAGAACAGAGAAAGCCAGGCAUUAUAUUUGGAAGUUGCCCCACUGAACUUCAUGAAAAGUAAAAGAGGGGCAUAUUGGGGAACAAAACUAUAAGCAUGCACCAGAAGUCACCAGCAUAUUAUCAUCUACAUGUUAACCUUUAAAAAGAACAUCUGAAAUAGCAAUCACCAAUCAUUCUGCUUAACUCAACAAAGCCUUAGUUCAAACUACUUUGAAUUGGCCACACAUCUAGGCAAAAUUCAGCUCUAUCAAGGGCAUCAGAAUCAUUGCAACAGGGUUAUAAAAAAUUAUAAUUGCCAUGCCUCCAUGAUCUUUGAUUACUCUGCCAAUGGGUGAAUAAGGGUAAGAGGGCGCCAUAGAAAUAGGAUUCUUAACUUAGUAACAUUAUUACCAAAUCAGGCCGUGGACAUAUGGGGCAACGGAGGAUCCUCUUUGAUAGCAGCAUUCUCUGGGGUCUCCUCUACCUUCUUAAAACAUUUUCUUCUCUUUAAGCAUGUGGGCUUUUUCCUGGGAAUUCUUGUUCAGUGUUUUUUGGCAUCUAACUCUUUUGUGGACAGCUGUGUUUUAGUAUAUCCCUUUUUUGUGUCUCAUUUGAAGGAUAGCUCAUCUUUCCUUGCAUUAGAUUCCUAUAUCUAUCAAUAAAUUAUUAUUAUUAUUUUGAAAAAAAGAAAAAGUUCUUAAGCUCCAAUGGAAGAAAGACUAUCUGGUUUGGUGUAAUUGACACACAUCAAGAGCAACAAGGAGAAGGAAAAUGCAAGUAAGAAACAGGGAAAGAGAUACUUGAAUAUUUGCUUAAGUAGACAAUCUCUAAUGUAGUUGAAGCCGUGUUGAUAACCAUAAUAGAAAUUUGUAUAGCAUAAAGGAGAAGAGAGCAUACAGUUUGGAACGUUUUGGAGGAGGCAUAACACCUGCAGAGAGGUCUGUAUUUCCAUGACUAACUCCUGAACCAUCCACUACAUGUCCCACAUCUACACAAGCUGAAUUUCCUAAAGGAAAGGAAAAAUGGAAGAGGCAAGCCAAAUUCAAAAUAUAGAACAUAUGUUCCACUUAAUUACAAAGAAAUGAAGUUAGGUCUAUUAAUUAAUUAAAUAAAAACAGAUAAAAUAAAACAUUGUGUUUGUCUGUAUGAUUACAAGUUGUUCUGCGAUGAAAAAGUUGUGUUAGUUCCAGUAGGGAGAAAAUAUUCUGAUUCCAUUGCCAAUUUAUUUUUCUUGCCUCACACAUGCCUGAAGGGGCAGGACCAGAGGUGUUCAAAAGUUUUGCCACCAUAAUACUCUAAAACUGUAAACUUUUAGCUCAAGAUUCUUGCAAAAUAAACAAUGGACCUUUAUCACAGUUAUACUGUUAUAAAUGAUGUCUCCAAAAUCCACUGCCUCUUGUUCAAGCCUGGUUAAGUGGUAAAAUGGAUAGGGAUUUCUGUAAAGGAAACAACCACAGAGACAUCCAUCUUGUGGACAUUAUAUAUUUGAAGCUUGAUGUCUACAUGAAAAAGAAAUUCAUGUCAUAAUUGCAAAUCAAGCCUCCUUCAACAAAUUAUUUGUUCCCAUAAAAAAUGCAUAGAGGCAGCUUAGAAGCCAUAAAUAAUGGGUGCCUAGUGACAAAUUGCAUGUUAUAAGUUUCUGCCACAAAGCUGUAUUAAGACUGAAUGGCAAACAAUAAAACAAAAAAAAUAAAAAGUGGGGUUUUGGCCGCUGAAGUUUGCGUCUUUUGUUUUCUCACACGUACACUUCAAGUGUACUGCAUUUGCCACUUUUGAUUGGCACUUGUCAUAUAUAUAUAUAAAUCUUAUUUGCCUAUUAAAAAAAAACAAAUAAAUAAAACAAAACAAUAUGAAAAAUGGGAAGACAAAAUAACACAAUGUUUUCAAAAUCGGACCAGUCAUUAAACCGAAAAAGUUACCAGUUCACUGAUUGAAUCGGUGGUUGAACCAGCGACAUCAUAAAUAUACAAUUUAUAUUUUAUUAAAAUUAAAACUAAUUAUAAAAAAUCUAAAAUAUUUAAGUAUGUAUAAAGAGACUUAAAAUCAAUAAUAUUUAUUCAAAAUGAAUAUAAAUAUGAAGAUAUAUAUUGAAAAUGAAUUAUAUUAUUUAAUUUCAUUUACAUAUUAAAUAUCAUAUUAUUUUAUAAUUUUAAAAGAUAUUAGGUUAUUUUACUGAUAUUAUUUUGAAAUUUAUUAUUACAUAAAUAAAUAUGAUAAAAUUAUUUAAUAAUGCAUUUACUGAAAAUCAGCACUUGGUGUAGUGGUUGCAAUGUCACUUCUUGAAUUUCUGUCAAUGAUUGGAGCCUCCACAUUGUGACAUGUAAAUUUUUUGGCAUAAAAUGUCAUCCCACAUCGAAAACAUCAGGAGAAAUUGAAGCCUUUAAAUUCAAAGUUCAACCUUUCAUCAAUGCAUGACAAAUGGACGCUUGAGACCAUGACUAAAGCUUAGAGAGGCCUUUUGCCCAAGUCCAAAAUAUAUGAGGCCUGUAUUGAAGCCCAAAUGAGAAUGCGUUGAGUGGGUUCCCGGGUCAACAAGUGAACCGAACCGGACCAGAUUUCGGGUGGCGGUUUGACCAGUCAGACCGGCCAGUCUGGUCUAGUUUUCAAAACAUUGAGAUAACAUAAAAGUAGACAUGAUUGAAAGGGAUGAAACUAUAGCACAUCCAAAAUGUUUUUUUUUUUAAAAAAAAAAAAAAAUUCAUAACUUCAAAAAUAGAUUAGCAUAUGGUAGAUUCAAUGAGUCAAAAUGGAGCAUUUUUUAGUAGAAAAUAUUAUUCUUUAUUCAAAAUAGAGGAAUUAUUCGAGGACAAAGGUAAUUCAGAAAGUUUUCUGUUAGCCAGAGGCAAUGUAUUCCAAUAAGUAAAUAUCAAUAUACACUAUGCAUUGGAUUAGCAGUAAAGAAGAAGGAAAUUGAAAAAACUAACCACAUAGUUUUACUUUUCAUAUAUAAAUAUAAACAUAGUGUUUGAUAAUUUAUAUUAUCUCCACCAUGUGUCAGUUUUUCAGAAGUUUCUGUAUUAGUGUAUCCAAAUCAUGUCUAAUUUGCGACCUGUUCCAAGGUCCAUGCAACCUAGGGAUUGGAGUAUCAAGUAAGAAGAAAGCAACAUGAAGAUCACUGUCAGUGAAAGCUGCAAUUUGAAUCACAAUUUCUAAAACAUCAGAAGCCAGUUUAUCUCAUUUUAAUAAUAUAUUAACUAAUGAAUUUAUUAUAAAUUGUAUUUAUAUAGUAAGGGCAACAAUACCAAGAUGAUAUGAAAAGAUGAGUUUAACUAGAUACUUCAGUUGUGAUAAUGUUGAUCAGCAAGCAAUGAAUAAAACUUAAAUCCUCAUGACAAAAUAUUACUAAACCUUAACCUUAGCAGGGAAAGAAAUAAAAACCAAUAAACUAGAAGCAGAAAGGGUUUACUUUUUAUCUCUGUGAAGGAACAAGCCGCUCCAAUUUGCUCAUCUAAGCAGGGUUCAGAGGCAGCAGUAUCAUCUGCAUCCAUAGAUUCAAACCUUUCUUGCUCCCCAGCCAUUGUAGCUUGGUCUAAGAGAAGUUAAGAACUAUAUAAUUGUUGUCCAGAAAAUAGAUAUGAUAAGCUUCUGACCUGGAAAAAAAUUCCCUAUAAUGAAAUGGAAAAAUGAAAAAAAUUGCAAAAUUGAUUCUAAAAAUGAAAUGAUUAAUGUAGAAUCUAUGUCCAUACCAUUUGAACUAUCCUCAUUUUCUUGCCUAGGAAAUCUGAAAGAGGAAAAGGAUACUAGCAUAAGCAAUUAAUGACUUCUUCCUUUCUUUCCGUGGAGGUUUUUUUUGCCCUGCACCACCAUCAAGCUCCAAGAACGAUUCUUCUGUAGGAUUUAAUGACUUGCAGAGUUCUGGGGGGAAAAGGAAAAAGAAAAGAAAACCUCAUUUUGUGGAAGAACCAGAAGCAUAAAACUUCCAGUGAACUUGUGCCAACACCACACACAGUCCCACAGUACCAUCAUCAGGUCCUUAUCCCACUAAGAUCAAGCCCAUUUCUAGAUAUAAUAUGCAACUCAUAAAGCAAUAGAUCACAUUCUCCUCCACUGUGAGAAGGCAAGGAUUCUUUGGGCGUUGCUUUACUCUAUGUUCGGGGUGCAGUGGGUACUGCCAGCCACUGUUAAGGAGACGCUUUUGGAGUGGAAUGGGUCAUUUGUGAGAAAGAAGAGGAAGGGUGUUUGGAGAGCAAGUCCUUUGUGUCUCUUUUGGACGGUUUGGAAGGCAAUGAACAAAGUUGCUUUUGAGGAAAAAGAGCUGUCAAUUCAAAGGCUUAAGUUUUCUUUUGUUUAUUUUCUUUGGUCGGAGACGAAAUUGUCUAUAAAAGAUGGUCCCUUGACCUUAGUUGAUUUUGUUGGUCGGGUGGCAACCCGUUAAGGGUGUGGGUAGGGCUGCUCCUCUGGCCUUGGCUUUCAGCUAGGGUGUGAGGGUUGUUUUCUUUCUUGUAAUUUAAGCCACUGCUUUGGUGGUUUUUUAAUACAAUCCCUUUACUUAUCAAAAAAAAAAAAAAUGCAACUCAUAAAGCACAAGACACGUAUAAUAUCAUUGCUCUUGGCAUAAUAAUUAUUCACCCUUAGACCUCUUUAUGUUGUUAAAUUUGUUUCAGACAAUACACUUCUCUUUGAGCCAUUAAUUGACUCAUGCAAUGUUUGGUUAAGGAAAAUAAUUUUUUCAUGUUUGGUUUUAUCAUGAAAAAUAAGAAAAAAAAAAUCAAAUAUAAUUAAAUUUAAUUAGAAACUUAUGCAUUUUCAAAUUAUUUAAUCGUUAUAUAAAAGGGUUAAAAUAAGUGAAAUUAUUUAAUCUUUGGAUAUAAAAAAUUUUUUUUGUUUAAUAAGGUCUACUGGGAAAUGGAGCUGCAGGGUUGUAAUGGAUAUGUUUUGUCCUGGGCAAAUUUGGAUUUGCAUAAAGUGAAAAGGAGCGGCUGGGGGGAGUUUGAUGCAAGAACUAGCUUCGUAAUGGGUAAUAGCAGGAGAGUAAAGUUUUGGCAUGGUAUGUAGUGUGGAAUGUUAUAUGGAUUACCUCUUUCCCUUGUUGUCCCUUGCAUCUAAGAUGGAGAUUGAAGGAGGCAUGCAUUGGAACCCUGUUUUCUACAGAAUUUUUAUGAUUGGUAGCUACAAAAUGUGGGUUCUUUCCUCAAACAGAUUCAAACAGUGGAGGAACUUAUGGAUUACAAGGAUAGGAUGGUGCAGAGGUGUGCCAAGGAUAGGAAGUUCUUGGUUUAAUCUUUCUAUUACUCUUUAGGGUCAGAUCCUAGAGGACCUUUUCCAUGCCAAAGAAGUCAAGAACUUAGGCUCCCACAAGGUGGCCUUCUUUGCUUGGGAGGCUGCUUAGGAAAAUGGGGAAAGCGAUGACAACAGAUACAAUGCUUAUGAAAAUGAGGGGAUGCUAAUUUAGGCUGUCCAUGAUGAGAAAGACAAAGAUGAACAAUGAGUAAUCUUCCUGUGUAUUUGGACUGUGGGCCCUUUUGUUACUAGGUGCCUAUUAAUAUAAAUCUCUGAUUUGCCUAUAAAAGGGGGGAAAGAAAAGGAUGACCCAUGAGUGAUGAUCAGUAUUUGAUUUCUACCCUAUAUGACAUCACUUCAAUACUCAUAUAUUAUGAAACAGUUUGAACGCUAAACCAACAGGUAGCAUAUGUGGUGCACCUCUACUCAUCAUAUAUAAAAACAUUCCUCAUCUGCAUAGUGUCUGCUUCAAUACACAUUUUCCAUUUUCUCCAAAUUUUCAUUUUAUGCAUAUGGAUUUAUUUUGAAUAACACCAACUUUAUCAGGCCACAACAAUAAACACUGCCAGGAGAAAAAGGAUUUCACACCUGCAUGAGCUGCAUAUUGGCUGGCCUUGACUGGCUUCUUACAGGCAUUGCAACAUACCUUCACGUAAUAAAAUAUUAAACAAUCAGAUAAAUUAGGUCAAGAAAAAGCUGAUGAGCACACGCACACACAUAGCAAAAUAAACUGACAUCUUGCAAAAACAUCUCAUGGACAGAAUCCUAAUUAUUAGGUCACAGCUAAUGCAGUACCAAAUUUUGAUUAACUACUUUAUGUUCAGAUGAAGGGAUAGGUACACAACCAUUAAAGCAAAAGGGAUAUAGGUUAAAACAAAGAGAAAUACACAUGCAAAAGGCCUUCGUCACAUAUCCAUACACGUGCAUAUACAUAAAAUGUGUACAAAAAGGAAAGAAAAAAGAAACAAUGUAAAUAUUCUUGCAAAAUAUAUCAUGCUAAUUGAAUUCCAACAAUCUAAACAAGAUUGCAUGGUGCCACAGUUCAGAAUAUGGCGUAGAAGCAAAGGCUAACAGCUGGAACAAAAGCUCCACAUCAUCAACUUGCAAGAUUUUUAACACCAGCAUCUGCCCCAGACUUCACAAAUUAAAAAAUAUGCCAAUAGCCAUUCUACCUUGGUCAUUAUCUAAUUUUGUUUACCUGUGUACCUUGGUGAGCUUUUGCUAGGCCCUGUUAAUAUAUUUAUUUUAUUUGCCUAUAAAAAAUAAUACCAUUUUCUUAUCCUAUCAGAAGACAGAGUACAAACUUUAUAUGAUAUUUCCUUUAAGUGUGGAAUAAUUGAAAAUAAAUCCUCAAGAGAUACUUAUUGAGUUCCUUUUGCUCCUCGCUCCUUGUUGCGUCAACCUAGAAGUUGUUCUCUGCUUGCAAGAGGUUAUCAUUUGAAGUUUGAACCAGGUGUUGAUGGUCACCCCAUUUGCUUCAUUUUGGUUUAAACUCCAACAGUCCACAUCCAGGUUAUGCUGAUUUAUUUGUGAGAUAGAAAGAGACCUAGAUAGCGAGAACUGUCCUUUACACGCAUGUACAGCAGUUAUUGUACACUUGAUCAUUGCAUUUUUCAUGGGCAUAGCAUAAGUCUUAAUAUAUUUCCAAAUGUCCAGGCAACAGGCUUUGCUGCCAUUUCGCAUUUUUGCAAUUAAUGGAAACUCCACAUUCCUUACAAUUUUUUUGAGUAUCAUUGCUCACCAACAAUCAAUGGGAACAUGCCAACAUGGCUCCAGGAAGACAUGUAGCAAAAGAAAUACCACCACAACUAGAGAGGAAGGAUCUUUACAAGAUAAAAAUCAGGAUUAUGACAUCACAGACAACACAAAAUAAUUAAUUUUUAUCACACAAAAGCCUUUGUAGCAGCCAAUGAUUCUCCAAACCUUACCAAAUACAAAGGAUCAGCCAUAGGCUUCAAACCAAAUACAUUCAUAUCUGCAAAAGAAAAACACAAAAUUUGUUCUAGAUAAAAGGGAAGCCUUCACUGAAUUAAAACAACCACAUGAACCCAUAAAUGAAUUGCAAUGGAUUCUGGAUAAUUAUCAAAUCACCUUCUUCAUCAAGCAAAUUUGCUUCAUCUGCCUCACGUAAUUCUCUAUGUAUGUAUUGAGCAGCUAAUUUCUCCUGGCUGACGUCCUCUGCCGAAAGAGGGAAAGAUGAAACAAAAAGAAACUGGGCUGACCACAAUAAUUUUGCUUACAGCAUAGCAUCUCAGAUCAAGUGGAAAGGUCAAUCACGAUUUCCUCAGUAAAUCCUAUUUGCUGGCAGAGAGUACUAAAGUUCCACACACCCCAAAGUUGAAAAGUAAAUAAAUGCUAAGUUCUAUAUCAUUGAGAAUAUUCAAGCUACAUAAACUGCAAAUCUCAGAAGUUCCUAAUUAUAAAAUUUAUUCAAGAUUGCUGAAUUGAAAAUUUUAGAAACAAACAAAACACAGGAAUAAAGAGAUGCAUUGAUCAUAUAGAAAGAGGGAGAGAGGGAGAGAGGGAGAGAAACCACUAAAGAUACAUACAGAAGUCAAAUGCCAUUUGUUGAAUUAAAAACUACCAUUCUCUGUGUACGUGUCUAUGAAGGUGAAGAGUGCAGAGAAGUGGGGUCCAGCAUUUUUUUGAUGGAUGAGAAGUAGGGUCCAGCAUGUGGAGGCAUGGGGAUGGGACAGAGGUUUACAAGGAGAACAGGGGGUUGUAGAGGACUGGGCCAUGGGAUACUUUAUUCUCAGUGAGCACAAUUACAUCAUGAAAAAGAACUUGUUUACACAGUAUGCAGAUUAUUUUGAGAGACACUUGUUCUUGCCAUACUGAUACAGCAUUUGGAUCAUAAAUUAUAAUUAUAAGUAUUACAUUAUGCAUACAAGAAAAAUGAAAUAAAGAACCCUCUAAUCCCUGCUCACUUUCUGUUCACUAUAAGAAUUUUGAAACAGAAUAUGACUUCCCUCACUUUUACUUCUGCCAUUCUCCAUAAACACUGCUUCAUUCUUUUGGAAUGUUUUCUAAUCAGCUAAUUCUUGGAUGUUUUAUUUUGGUAGGUAAACUUUUUCUUUAUGAGGAGUCAAACACCGAACCUCCCAUGUUCCUGUCCAGCCCCUUGACACUUGAGCCAGCCCUUGGGCUUUGUCAACUCCUCGAUGUUCUAUUUCACCGGUUCAGUUGGACUACAUAACUUUCCCAGAGAAAGAAUAAAUGCAAAGUCAAAUUCAGCUACUACUCUUAUAUGAGCCCAUAUCAACACUCACUGCCCAGAAACAUCACACAAUAUCAUCAUACCUGUUAUAAUAGGUGAGAAACUUCCUGCUGCCAGAAGUCUGGCCAUGACUGCCAUUCUCCCACUUUCAAGUGAGCAUACCAUUGAGGCUAAGACAACUUGUAUGUCUCCACCCUAUAAUAAGAAAAGAUCACCCUAUAAUAAGCAGAGUCCACCAAAUAUAUAUAUAUAUAAACAUACACACCCACAUCCAAACUAUGCAUGCAGUAGCAUUAGCAAACAUUAAAUGAAAUAAAGUUACAGAACUCGGCCUAUAUAAAAGAUUGUUUUCUAACUUCGCAAAGGCAUUUUCCAUUUUUUUUUAUUUUUUAUUUUAUGGCAAACAGAAAAUUAGAUUAAUUUCCAAUUGUUCACUAAACUUAAUGUUGGUCAAUUUCCAAUUAAAAAUGGUAUCAACUUUUCAAAAAUCAAAAUCAAUUGAAGUAUGAAGAUGAGCCUAUUAAACAAAAUAAAAUUUGAAAUAUGAAGACAAGCCUAUCAAACAAAAGAAAAAUUGAAAUAUGAAGAAGAAUACAAAAUGAUCAAAUAAACAGACAACCUGGAACCAGUAAGUCUAAAAUACAUUACAAUGUGGCUGGCAUGCUCCUCCUGCAUUCCAAUAGAACUAAAUGACUUCAACACAUUCCAGCACAAUCAUAAACUAUUAUGCUAAACUAGAAAAUUAGGAGUUCCUAAUGUUGAGUUGCAUGGAUCAUUUUAGUCAUUCAACAAUAAAAAAUAAAGUCUCAAGAAAAUAGCUUUUUUUUUUAUAGGUAAAUAAGAAUUGUAUUAAAAGAAAGAAAGUAUACACAUCGUAUACGAAGAAAAAAGGACAAAAAGGAGUGAAAACACAAAAACCCACUACUGCACCCUAUCAUGAGCCUACCCAAUCCACAAAGUCUAACAAAGAUAAAGAUCCGCCCUCAAUGUACAAUCUAACCUAAUUCCAAAAUAGAUACAAAAAAGAAUUUUUAAUUGUUUGAUCCGUGUUUUCAAAGUUGCCAAAAGCCCUCCUAUUUCUCUCCUGCCAUAAAGCUCAAAACAUACACAAUGGAGCAGUUUUCCAAGCCUUCUUCCUCUUUUUACCCACAAAGGACCUGUGUCAACUCAGAAGGACCCCUCUAACUAAACAACUCAACACCCACUGAAUGCCAAAAAGUGCAAAGAUCAACUACCACAACAAACAAGCUUUCAAAUAAUGGAUGAGACUAUGGUCACUAGUUUCUUUUGUUUCCUUACACAAGUAACAUAUAUUAGGAAUCCACCAACCCCUCUUUUUAAGUUGAUCCAGAGUCAAAAUCUUGGCCCAAGUUACUUCCUAAGCAAAAAAGCUAAUUCUCGAGGGCACCUAAGAAUUCCAAACAAUACCAUGGGGAACGGUUCCACUCCUAUCGACCAAGGAGUAGAAGGACUUAACAAAGAAAGCACCAUCCUUCAUAGGCAACCAUACCAUGGCAUCAUUAGUCUCCACAGACAAAGGGUGUACUGACAAUCUCUCCAAGAAGGCUUGCACCUUCUCUAGUUCCCAAUCAUGCAACUACCUCAUAAACCUAGGACUCCAACCACCAUCCUCCCAAAGGUCACUUACCCAAGCAUUUUUAGAGAAUGCUAUGGAAUAAAGCUCAAGAAAGGACUCCCUCAAGGAUGAAUCCCCACACCACUUGUCCUUCCAGAACUUCACCCAGUUUCCAAACCCAACUGUAAACUCAGUUCUUGUUUUGAACAUCUCCCAUCUACCUCUGAUAGCCUUCCACACCCCCACACCAUGUCCUUCCCUAACAACUUUAGAACACAAACCCCCCUCAACUUGCCCAUACUUGCCCACAAUCACCCGUUUCCAAAGAGGGUCCCUUUAACUUGCAAAUCUCCAAAACCACUUGCCUAAGAGAGUCUCAUUGAGGAUGAUUAAAUCUCUGAUGCCCAAGCGUCCUUGUUGUUUGUCCAACCGAACAAUAGCCCAUCUCACCAAGUGUGACUUUUGCUCUAAGGCACCUCCUCCCCACAAAAAGUCUCUUUAAAUCUUUUCUAGUUUAGCGGCUACUUUCCUUCGAAUGACAAAGAGAGACAUAAAGUAAAUCAGCAAACUAGACAAAGUGUUCUUCACCAGGGUCAACCUUCCACCUUUUGAAAGAUACUGACUCUUCCACAACGUUAAUCUUUUUCGAAAUCUCUCUUCCACCCCAUCCCAUACCCUAGAGGACCUGAAAGGAGCUCCCGGCGGAAGUCCUAAAUAGGUAGCAUAUGAAUGUGUAUAAUUAAGAUUGAUGAUUCAUAAUUUCACGCCAACAAUCAUUGGUUUCUGUUCGGAUUAAGUGAUAUAAAUAAUAAACCACCACUUGUCUUUCUCUUGGAAUUAACAAGUUUUUCUCUUCUGGUGAGGCUUUUUGGAAAGAGAGCUGUUCACCAACUUUGUCAAUCAAGGACAAGGAAGUUUACACUUUAUAGAUGGUUCAUAUGGAUUGCAGAACAUAAGUUUUCUCUUAAGCAGAGGGUUCUCAUUUUUGUAGGUCAGAAUUUUCUUGGCAGCUGUCUACCUAGGCAGCAAAAUAGACUGCCCAAGUUUUGGGGAUUGCCUUCAAGAAGUUGUUAUGAAUUUGCUUCAACUAGAAGAUGUGUUCCCCAAAUUAAGAACAUUUAGCAUUUUCUUAAGCAGGUAAGGAAAUGUGCUCUUUAGUGGGGUUUUUAACUGUUCCUAUGGAAGGUAAAUUUUGACCUCCAUCAAAUUGUAAUAUUAUCACGUGCAGGCAGUCAGCAUAGAUGUGGCCUCUUCUAGGUGAACCCCAGAAAUUGUGGUGUCUUAUAUCCAUGUAUCCAAACUCUUUCUUCUUUGUUGAAGCCAUUACUUGGAUUUUGCAUGGGGUUGGUUUUCAGGAUCCCAUUCCCUUUGCAAGUAUGUUGAUUUCCAUUAGGAUUUAGGCAGUGGAAUAGGCCACUACAAAUUCAGCCUCACAAUACAUGGCCGAAUUAAUAUCACCAAAAGGUAAAGCAAUGAAAGGACACAUCCAAACUACCUUUUUAUGAGCCUUCAUAAACAAAUUCCUCAUGUAAAUUCAGACAUAAUAUACCAUUUUAAAAGCCCAUAAAUCUGAAUUUGGACACAAUAAAUGACAAUAAUAAUUAAAAAAAUAAAGGAAAACAAAAAACAAGUUCAAAAAAAAAAUCCCUCCACUUUUUUCCAAACUUUAUUCCCUUUAUAGAUAGAGAACAUGACUUGAAUAAAUUUCUCUCUGAUUUUCACUGCAAUUCAUUUUCUUUCCUAUUUUCCAUCCAACCCAAUCAAGAUAAAUUGUUUUUUUAUCCCCUAGUUCUCUUUCCUUUUAUUUGCACUUUCAAGAACCAAACAAUGCAAAAAAGAAACCAUAAAAUUUGAAUAAUUCUCAAACAGAACCACCAAAAGUUUUUUUAAAAAAACAACUCUAAACCAUAACAAUAAAACUGCAACAGGAAAAAUCAAAAUCAACACAAGAUUGACAAUUAAUCAUCAAUUUGAAGUCAUUAAACCAAAAUGAGAACUCAUUACCUCAAUUGGCAAUUAUCAUAAAAAAAAAGGAGAAGAUAUUCUUCCUCGGGAUUUGAAAGUUGAUAAGUUUCCAUUAGGAAUAGAGGACUGAGCACUCUUAAGGUAUUCUUAGGGACAAUGAUUAGUUAUGACAUAGUGUUAUUAGAAGUACAUAUAAGUGGCAUAUAAAUGGGAUGUCACGGUUGUGAUCAGGUGCUCCAUGAACAUCAUGUCCAUCCCCUUGGAAACCCAUCUGCUAAGGCUUCUUAUUUUAUAUGUAUAUAUUUUCCAUUUUUCGACGGAAGAUGGCUUAAAAAAUCAUUUUUUAGAAAACCUGAAAUUGGGGAACCAACCUUUGUGUCUUCUAUACCCUAACCUUUCUCAUAUUUGAGGGUUAUGGAUCCUACAUCUUGUCUUACCCUUUCUGAAACAUUGAUUGUCAUCCUGAUUUAUUAGAUCAGACAACUGAUUAUUUAUCCUCUCCCUUCCUCAAGUUCCAACCUGUUUACCUCUUUGUCACUUCAAGGUCAUAGGAUUUGGAUUUGGUUUACCUCAGACAUAUUUUCCUCUAGCCUUUCUUUCACACAGUGUUUUCCCAGAUGUCUUUCCAUAGGUUAAUAUCAUUUGGAAGUCUAAAGGUACUCCCAGUUAAAACUUUCACAUAAUAGUGGCCCUUUUAUUUCUUUCUUUCUUUCUUUCUUUGAUAGGCAUUUAAAGCUUUUAACCCUCAGCAUUGUGCUCUUCACUUAGACGGUGGUCCCGCUUCAUUCAUUGUAGAGAGAUGAUGCUCAUUACCUUCAGAGGUUUUAGGAGGAGCCCCAGUCUCCCCAGGGUAAAGUACUUUGAAAAGAACUAGUGCUUGCUAUUCUCAGGAUGUUUGGGCUAGAAAUUUGGAUUUGUAAAAGUAAGUAAAAUCCACAUGAGACCUUAUGAAACACUGUCUCUAUUAGCCAUUUAGCUUACUUCUUUGUGGGGCUCCCUCUUAGUAUGUUAUGUAUGAAUUUUAAGAAACAUUCAGUAGUAGUGCUAGAAACAGGAUGUAGGUUGAGGUUAGUAAAGCCUAGGAACCCCCCACCUUCAAGUUAUCUCAAAGUGAAUUUUGAUGGAUGAACACUCGUCCAAAAAAAAUGAUGGAUGUACGCUAAGGAAUUCAGGCCAGGUAGAGAUUUGUGUUCCAAGAUUACAAAGGCAGCCAGAUAAGGACCUUAUCAAAGCCAGCUGAUUCAAGAUUUUCUAUACAAAUUGAGAUUUCAGCCUUGAUAAAGGCUCAAUGGAGGCAAAAUCUAAGGGGAUUACAAAUUCCUGAGGAGGAAGGGAUUCAGAAGUUGUCAUCUCAUGGUUUGCUCAGGGGAAGAUAGGAGCAUGGGAGUAGGAUGUGAACCAGGAAGAUCUUGGACCCCUAUCAGAUCAGAUGGAAUGUUGUUUUUCUUGGAUACCGUGGUCUACUAAUGAGGUAGCAGAUCAAAUGAAAAUUUGUGCAAAUGUUUCAUCCAAUUACUGGGGUUUAGCCUAAUAUCCUUGGGUGUACUAAAUUCAUUUCGUUUGUAUUCCUUUUUUAUCUUUGUUUUGAAAGAUGAAUCAUCCUUGAUGUACCCAGUAUUUCUUUAUAUUUAGUGGAAUGGUUGCUUUUUUUUUCUAUCAUCAUAUUAUCAAAAAGAAAAAAUGGUGAAAACAAAUGAUGAAAUUGUAAAAUUUGAAUAAAUCCACAGUGAGUCUCAGCAGAAAUUCAGCAUCACGGUGCUAAUCUAAUCAAUAUCUUUCAACAAGGAAUCGAUGGAAGGACGUAGCCAAACAAUUGUUUGCCAGAUUUUUUCCCAAUAAAAUUCUUUAAAUAAAUUCAUGCAUAAUACACCAUUUAAAGCCCACGAACGCAUACUUAGGAUAAGUAAAUCAGAUAACCCAAAAUAAAACAUAAAUUAGGGUUCAGAGUUCUGGCCGCACAAACAUUUCAUAAAUACAACCAAUUCUAAGACAUGCAAUCAAAUCGAUGAACUAUUCCAUGCUUCAACCACAAAAGAAACCACACAAUCCGAAUGCCUCUCAAAUACAAACCACAAAAAACAACAAAAACAAAAACCCAACCCACAUCCACAAAUCCUAGCACCAAAAAAAAAAAUCCACACAAACACACGACAACGUAAAAAACAAGCAAUUCAAAAUCACCAUAACCACAACGAGAACUCGAUUACCUCAAUCGACAACAAUAAUGAGAAAAUGGCGAAACCAGGGAAUUCGAACCAAUCCAGAGUCGAUCUCAGCUGAAUGCGCCACGAACUUGACGUGAAUGAGAGCGCGAACAAGCACGACAAUGACGAACCCGGAAACCCUAGGAGAGAGAAAGUGCUUAGUAUGUGUUUGUAAAAAAUCCGCUGCCUUCUCUAUCUCUAUCUAUCUUCCCCACUGCGUGGAGUAGAGAAGAGAUUGGAAGCAAACACUUAGGAAUGCCUUUUAAUAUAUAUGCCUCCGCCUAUGAUCCCUGUGCCUGUUAUGUAUGUGCGCCUGCGCAGCUGCUUCGGGCCCACGCCACUGCUGUGUUACAAUUCGACUUAAUGCAACUGAUUAGGUGUCCAUGAUGUGGCUGUGGUUUUCGGCCGUUUAUUUAAUAAUAAAUAUCUCAUAUUAUUUUAAUAUUUUUAAAUAAAUUAUAACAUGUGGGACCCUCAAUGUAAUUUAAAAACUUUCAAAUUUUAAUUUUGUUAAAAAAAUUAAAAUAUGACUUUAUAAAACAUGAAAAUUAUAAAAAAAAAUCAACAUAUACUAAUAUAACUUGAUAGACUUAAGUAUUAAUUUAUUUGAUAUUCAAAUUACCCAUCAAACUUUAUAAAAAAAACAAUGACAAUGAUAAAAUAUAAGAAUUUAUCGAAACUUAUGAAUGAUCAUUCAUAUUAAUGUAAAUUUCUUCAUGACUCCUCGUAGGAUGAGAAACCUCUAAUAAAAUAUUCAUUCAAUUUUUUUUAUUAGAAUUCAAAGUAUUAGCACAAGCCGACAUUUGAAGACUUCAAUUCAGUAGAAAUGUCACAAUAAAAUACUACGAAGGCUCCUACAUCAAUUUAUGAUAAAGUACAUUAUGACAUAAUCUCAUUUUUCUAUAAUAGUUAUAAUUGUCAAUCUUUUUUAUAUUAAGAGAAUAUAAUUCAGUUUUUCACUAUUCAUAACCUAAAGUUGUGUAAAAGAAAAAAAAAAAGAAAAUUAAUAAAUAUCAAAACUUGUACAAUCAGAAACUAUGAGUAUAUGCAUAAAAUGACAUUCCAAAACCAUGUUAAUUGGGAUUCUCUGAACACUUGUAGGACAACUUAUAUAUAUAAUUAUUUUUUGACAAAUCAGUGACUUCGUAUAAAGCAUAACACUGUGUGGAGCAUCCUACCACAUACAAUUACCAUUUACAUAUAUUUAUACUAAUUCUUUUUUUAUAAGUGUAAGUUGUGGUUAUAAUUUUAUUAUGGAAAAGUGAUGUUAUGGCAACAACUGCAUGAAGAACAUAGAAAGUAAGUUUUAAAACAUUGUUUUAAAACUUUGUUAUAAUAUAUAUAUAUAUAUAUUGUUAGUUAGGGGUUCAUCUAAGAGACUUGUAAUUGAGCAAUAUAUGAGCUCAUUUGGGUGGGUUUUUUUUUUUUUGGGAAAAUCAUCUAAUCAUACACCAACUACAAAAAAUAUGAGAUUUUGGAACUUUGUUUUUUUCUUUUUAAUUUUAGUGUAAAAUGGAAAAAAUUAUUGUUUAUUCAUGCACUCCAAUAGUGCUUUCAAAUUUGUUCUAUAAUUACCCUCAAAAGUAAAUGACAAAGUACACACCAAUUUAAUGCUAUCUGUUAACAAGUACAUGAGUCAUUUAAUUUUAUUAUUUUUCUCACAUCAAUAUAUCCCCCUUACCAUUUGUUACGUUUCCACUUUUUUCUUUUUUCUUUUUUUCCUCCCUGCCAUCCUUGCCACCAUAAUCCAUUGUCACCUAUUAUAGUUUUUUUUUUUUAGUUUUCUUUUUUAUCUUUAUAUUCUUUUUAAUAUGCUCAUGCAUUUUUUAAUAAAGCUUCUUUAAUUUUAAUUUAUUUUUACUCUCUAAUUUGUCUAUAUUUAUUUAUUUUAAUUAUUUUUUUGACAUAUUAAACUUAAAAUGAUAAUAUAUAAUAAAUAAUUAAUAUAAAAAAUUAAAUAAAAAAUAUAUAUAAUGUACAAAAAUGAAAAUAUUAUCCCACAAAUAAUAAUGAUUUUAAAUAUUAAUUAUAAUAAUACAUUUUAUAAAUUAAGGUUUAAAUUUAAAAACUCCAUUUUAUUAUUUAGAAUUUUAUGAUAUAAGAUUUUUUAUAUUAAAACUAAACAAAAGAUUUAUUUAUUUUGUAAAUUCUAUCACAUGUAAAAGUAAAAAUAUCAUCGUAAUAUUAUUUUAUUAUUUACAUUAUUUUUCUUUUAAUUUUUAUUUUAAAUUUAUCAUAUCAAAAUCACAAUAAGUGACAAUGCUUUUAUCAUUUUUCUUAUGAUUUCAAAUUGAUUGUGGAUCUAACUUUUUUUUUUUUUGGUUAAAAUCUUUAAUUUUUAAUUAAAAUAAAAUAUAAAAGAAAAUAUAUUUUUCAUAAAAAAUUGUAUUUAACCUUUUAUAUUAAUUUAAUAAAAAAUAGGUACAUCCUUAAAAAUAUAGGUAAAUUAAUGCUUAAGAGAACUGAAAACACUAUCAUACUUAUCAUGAUGUAUAUAUUUCUUUAGGACCCUUGAUAAGUAAUUGAAGGUCUUUGCCUGCCCCAAAAAGAACUUUGGGAUCCUAGGUAUAUCCAUUCUAAGAGGAACCAAGACCCCUAUUUUCAUUUUCAUGGUUCAUAUAUUCAUUUGGGGACCCUUGAGAAGGAAUUAGAGGUUAUUCCCCACCUUAAAACGGAUAUUGGAACCCAAGGUACAUCCUAAAGACAAUUUGGUGCAUCAUUUAUAAAAUUUGGUACAUAUUUCAUAAAAUUUGACACAUCCUUAAAACAAUUUUGUACAUCCAAUCCAUGAGCUAUCAAGACCUCUAUAUUAUUACCCAUAGUUUGUUUAUUUCUUUAGGGAUCUUUAGGAAGUAAUUAAAGGUCGUUCCCUACUCAUAACGGACUUUGGCAACAUUAGUACAUCAUUUACAAAAUUUGGUACAUUCUUUACAAAAUUUGGCACAUCUUUCACAAAAUUUGGUACAUUAUGAAGGAUGUACCAAAUUUUGUAAAUGAUAUACCAAGGGUUUCAAAGUGCAUUUCGAGGUAGGGAUCAGCCCCCAUGUAGACCCUCAAUUUUGUCCCUCAACACUGACAUUUAUCCUUUGGGUGUCACCUGCACCCAUCGUUCUCAUAUGGCACCACUGGGGCCCCUUUUGGGCUUAGUUAGUGUCCGAGCCUCGUGUGGGCUUGUCUGUGGUCCAUUGUGGUGCAUAUGUGGUUCAUGUUGGAGGGUCAUCGUGGCCAUUUUCCUAUUCGUUCACAUCACCCUAUAGGAAGGAAGUGGGGUCAUCCCGAUGUUUUAGCUUAGUUGGAGUUUAUAGGGGCAUGUUGAGGUUCGGAGCACUUGGGCUUGUUUUGAUCAUAUCUCCCUUUUCCGAACUCGGAAUUGUGCACCGUUUUUUUUCAUGGAUUUCUCACUCUUCUAGGAACAUUCUGUCAAAUUUUCAAAAUUUUUUGCAACCAGUUCGACCAGUUGGCAUCCGGUUCAGCCUGUUCAGCCGAUUCAUCGAGUCAACUGGUGUAGAACACUGAUUUUUGGUAAUUAUUUUGAUCAUAUCUCCAUUUUUCGAACUCGGAAUUGCGCACCGUUUAUUUUCAUGGAUUCCUCACUCUUCCAGGAACAUUUUGUCAAAUUUUCAAAAUUUUUUGCAACCGGUUCGACCGGUUGGCACCCGAUUCGACUGGUUGGCACCCGAUUCAGCCGGUUCAUCGAGUCAACCAGUGUAAAAUACUGAUUUUGGUAAUUUUGGGACCCAAAUCCUACAUGGAUCAGGCCCAUAAACUCCAGAUCGGUUUUGGGCAAUGUUGUGGGCCCAUUUUGGGACUUGGUUUGGGUUUCUUGCAGCCCACCACAAAUCCAUAUGGAUUCUUGGUGGUGAAGCAAGCUGAAAACUGAAGGGAGUGAGCUGGCCUCGUAAGUGCAAGAGAAAUAAUGGGGGGUGUGUUUUCCAUGCUGAUGGAGGGGAUUUCGGUGCUGAAGGGGAAGGAACCCAGGAGGCUCAAAUGCUGAGAGGGAUAUGAGUAUAAAAUGUGAGAAAAUAGGAGAGCAGAAGAGGAAGGAGAAGGAAAACGAGGGCACUUUGGAGAGGGGAUAUUUUGCUGGUGAGAAAAAACAAAAGGUCGGGGCACCUUCUGAGUUAAGAGCAUGGGGGAAAGCUUCAGCACUGUGGUUAUUUUGAAGAGGAGAGCUACAACAUCUCAUUUUUUGGAGGUCAUCAUCGGCAUACACGGAUCAUAUCUGGUGGAGAUUCUGAGAUAAGUAGGCUGAAUUUUUUUUACCUGCAGUUUAUCUUCAUUUUCUUCAUAUACGUUUUCUCCUUCCGCAUCAUCUUUUAUUUCCUUUGAUAUGAAGAUUGUCUUGCUUGGGUGUGGGUAAUAAAGGUCACACAUGAUUGUUGUUGAUUGGUUAUGAAUGGUUUAGAAACUUUCUGACCAAAUUUAGGAUUUUUCAUCAACCGGUUCAGCGCCAUAGUUGGCUGCCUCUGUCAACCAUGAGGAACCCCUGACCUUUCUUUGUCCGGUUCUCACUCAUCUGAGCUUAGAAUUGAGAACCGUUUCUUUUGUUUAUUUUCUUAUUCAGUUAGAAACUUUCUGGCCAAAUUUGGGAUUUUUUAUCAACCGUCUUAACCGGUUGGGAACCGGUUCAACCGGUUCAGCGCCAUAGCUGGCUGCCUCUGUUAGCCAUGAGGAACCCCUGACUUUUCUUUGUCCGAUUCUUACUCAUCCGGGCUCGGAAUUGAGAACCGUUUCUUUUGUUUAUUUCCUUAUUUAGUUAGAAACUUCCUGACCAAAUUUGGGAUUUUUUAUCAACCGUCUAAACCGGUUGGGAAUCGGUUCAACCGGUUCAGCGCCAUAGCUGGCUGCCUCUGUCAGCCAUGAGGAACCCCUGACCUUUCUUUGUCCGGUUCUCACUCAUCCGGGCUUAGAAUUGAGAACCGUUUCUUUUAUUUAUUUCUUUAUUCAGUUAGAAACUUCUUGGCCAAAUUUGGGAUUUUUUAUCAACCGUCUGAACUGGUUGGGAACCGGUUCAACCGGUUCAGCGCCUUAGUUGGCUGCCUCUAUCAGCCAUGAUGAACCCCUGACUUUUCUUUGUCCGGUUCUCACUCAUCCGGACUCGAAAUUGAGAACCGUUUCUUUUGUUUAUUUCCUUAUUCAGUUAGAAACUUCCUGACUAAUUUUGGGAUUUUUUAUCAACCGUCUGAACCGGUUGGGAACCGGUUCAACCGAUUCAGCACCAUAGUUGGCUGCUUCUGUCAGCCAUGAAGAACCCUUGAUCUUUCUUUGUCUGGUUCUCACUCAUCUGGGCUCGGAAUUGAGAACCGUUUCUUUUGUUUGAAUCCCAUUUAGGAGUUUUUUAGAAAAAUUUGGGAAUUCUUCUUAAUAGGUUGUACCAGUUGAAAACUAGUUCAACCUGUUCUGCUGGAGGACUUUAGGUAGCCCUCGAUUUUGGCAUUUUUCGAGCCCUUAUCCAUUAGGGCUCAAACCCAUUUGCUAUAGGGCACUUGUGAGCCAUCUGCUAUAGGGCACUUGUGAGCCAUCUUGAAGGUUUAAGUCAGUGUUUGAUUUCAGUUAGUAUGGACAAUUUUGAAGUUAUGGGUGGUGUGGUCUAGAUGAGUCUAGUUUGAUUUGUAUGACAUUUGGGGAGUCCCUUACCUCAUUUCAACCAGUUAUCUUCCUUUUUGGCACAAGCUUUGAUGCUUGAUUUUGAAUACAUGUUGCGUCACUGACUCACCCUCUGCUGUAGCACAUGGCUGGGGACCACAGGUAUGCAUCGUUGGUUUUGAUUGUUGAAUCAUAUGCAUGCAUGGUGCUUAAUCCUGAAUGUUUGUUAUGUGUUUAUCUGUGUUUGGCUGACCUUUUAUGCAGCGCAUGGCUGGGGACCACAGGUACACACCCAUUGUUUUGGUUGGUUGAAUUCAUAUGCAUGCCAAAUACCAAUUAGGAUUGUGUGAUUCAUGACAUCUAUUUAGCCUAGGGUUUCAUCUUUGACUUAUAUGCUCCCACAUACCCAAUUCAUUAGUAGAGACCGAGUUCCGGGCCUAGAGGGGUGCUACCUCGCAUGAGGUACCUUCCCAAUGGGUAACCUGAUCCCCGGACCCAGAAUCUAGUUUUCGCAGACCGCUUUUUCCAUACUAGGAUCAUUAGGGGUUUUUGUUCUUACUUAAUUUUCCCCAUUUUAAAAAUAAAAAUAAAAAGUAAGUGGUGACUCCAUACAACACCGUUCCUUACCGGGGGCGGGUUUUUCAAAACUAGAAAACUCAACUUUUUCAUUCUUUCUUUUUAUUUAAAAGCGAGUCGCGCCGGUCCGGUGGAUCGGGUGAAGGUCUACACCCCAAUCACUUCCUUAUGGGUUCCAAAAUGAACUCAUGUGUCAUCCAUAUUUAGAUGGGGGUCCCGGAAGCGAUAGGAUUGGAUGUACCAAAUUUAAUAAAGGAUAUACUAAAAUUUGGGAAGAAUGUACCAAGGGUUCCAAAGUGCGUUCUAAGAUGGGGAUCGGCCCCCAAUCACUUUCUUAUGGGUUUCUAAAUGAAAUUAUGGAUCAUCCAUGUUUAGAUGGGAGUCCCGGAAGUGAUAGGAUCGGAUGUACCAAAUUUAAUGAAGGAUGUACCAAAUUUUGUGAAUGAUGUAUCUAGGGUUCCAAAGUGCGUUUUAAGGUGGGGAUUGACCCCCAAUCAUUUCUUUAUGGGUUUCUAAAUGAAAUUAUGGAUCAUCCAUGUUCAGAUGGGGGUCUCGGAAGUGAUAGGAUCGAAUAUACUAAAUUUAAUGAAAGAUGUACCAAAUUUUGUGACUGAUGUGCCAAGGUUGUGCUCUUUACUAGUGCACAUAGCCUACCAAUAUAAUGGUUUUAGCAAUAGGCAUGCCUCUAAAAUUAAGGGUGUGCCCCUAGUUUGCAUACUGCAUAUAGUAUACCAAAAUAAUGUUAUCAUACCCAUGGGCAUGCCUAUGCAACGAAGGGUGCACCCUUGCUUUGCAUUCUACAUGUAGCAUAGUAAUAUGAUGUCAUUCAACCAUAGGCAUGCCUUUGAAAUGGAAGGUGCGCCCUUACACAUAACAUACUAAAAUAAUGUUAUUGUAUAAAAAAAAAUUCCAUUUAUUCUAAGGAUAAGGUGUACAUGUUUGAAUGCUUUCCCAAUGUGUUAAUGGGUCAACCUCUCUUUUACCGACUCCUCACAUAACACGAAGCCAAUCCCCACCUCAAGGAUUUAGCACAUCUUUCACAAAAUUUGGUACAUCCUUUAUUAAAUUUAGUACAUCUAAUCUUAUUACUUCCGAGACCCCCAUGUAAACAUGAAUGGUCCAUAAUUUCAUUUAGAAACCCAUAAGAAAGUGAUUGGGGGCCGAUCCCCAUCUCGGAACGCACUUUGAAACCCUUGGUACAUCCUUCCCAAAAUUUGGUAAAUCCUUAACAAAAUUUGGUACAUUCGAUCCUAUUGCUUAUGGGACCCCUAUCUAAACAUGGAUGGUCCAUGAUUUCAUUUUGGAACCCAUAAGGAAGUGUUUGGGAGGCGAUCCCCACCUUGAAACACACUUUGGAACCCUUGGUACAUCAUUUACAAAAUUUGGUACAUCCGAUCCUAUCGCUUCUGGGACCCCAUCUGAACAUGGAUGGUCCAUAAUUUCAUUUAGAAACCCAUAAGUAAGUGAUUGGGGGUUGAUCCCCACCUUAAAACGUACUUUCGAACCCUUGGUACAUUCUUCACAAAAUUUGGUACAUUCUUCAUUAAAUUUGGUACAUCCGAUCCUAUCACUUUCGGGACCCCCAUCUAAACAUGGAUGGUCCAUAAUUUCAUUUAGAAACCCAUGAGAAAGUGAUUGGGGGCUGAUUCCCACAUCGGAACGCACUUUGGAACCCUUGGUACAUCAUACACAAAAUUUGGUACAUCCUUAAUUAAAUUUGGUACAUCCGAUCCUAUCGCUUCUGAGACCCUCAUCUGAACAUGGAUGGUCCAUAAUUUCAUUUAGAAACCCAUAAGAAAGUGAUUGGGGGCCGAUCCCCACCUCGGAAAACACUUUGGAACCAUUGGUACAUCAUUCUCAAAUUUUGAUAUAUCCUUCGUUAAAUUUGGUAUAUCCGAUCCUUUCACUUCCGAGACCCCCAUCUAAACAUGGAUGGUCCAUAAUUUCAUUUAGAAACCCAUAAGAAAGUGAUUAGGGGCCAAUCCCCACCUCGAAACACACUUUGGAACCCUUAGUACAUCCUUUACAAAAUUUGGUACAUUCUUCAUUAAAUUUGGUACAUCCGAUCCUAAAGCUUCCAGGACCCCCAUCUGAACAUGGAUGGUCCAUAAUUUCAUUUUGGAACCCAUAAGAAAGUGUUAAGGGGUCGAUCCCCACCUCGGAACGCACUUUAAAACCCUUGGUACAUACUUUACAAAAUUUGGUACAUCUGAUCCUAUCGCUUCCGGGACCCCCAUCUGAACAUGGAUGGUCCAUAAUUAAAUUUAGAAACCCAUAACAAAGUAAUUGGGGGCUGAUCCCCACCUCAUAACGCACUUUGAAACCCUUGGUACAUCCUUCACAAAAUUUUGUACAUCCUUCAUUAAAUUUGGUACAUCCCAUUCUAGCGCUUUCGGGACCCCCAUCUGAACAUGAAUGGUCCGUAAUUUCAUUUAGAAACCCACAAGAAAGUGAUUGGGGGCCGAUCCCCACCUCGAAACGCACUUUGGAACCCAUGGUACAUCUUUCCCAAAUUUUGGUACAUCCGAUCCUAUUAGUUAUGGGAUCUCCAUCUGAACAUGGAUGGUCCAUGAUUUCAUUUUGGAACCCAUAAGAAAUUGAUUGGGGACCGAUCCACCUCAGAAAGCACUUUGGAACCAUUGGUACAUCAUUCCCAAAUUUUGGUACAUCCUUCGUUAAAUUUGGUACAUCCAAUCCUUUCACUUCCGAGACCCCCAUCUAAACAUGGAUGGUCCAUAAUUUCAUUUAGAAACCCAUAAGAAAGUAAUUGGGGGCCGAUCCCCACCUCGAAACGCACUUUGAAACCCUUGGUACAUCAUUCACAAAAUUUGGUACAUCUUUCAUUAAAUUUGGUACAUCUUUCAUUAAAUUUGGUACAUCCCAUCUUAGCGCUUUCGGGACCCCCAUCUAAAUAUGAAUGGUCCAUAAUUUCAUUUAGAAACCCACAAGAAAGUGAUUGGGGGUCGAUCCCCACCUCGAAACACACUUUGAAACCUUUGGUAUAUCCUUCCCAAAAUUUGGUACAUCCAAUCCUAUUAGUUAUGGGAUCCCCAUCUGAACAUAGAUGGUCCAUGAUUUCAUUUUGGAACCCAUAAGAAAUUGAUCGGGGACCGAUCCUCACCUCGGAACACACUUUGGACCGAUCCUUCGUUAAAUUUGGUACAUCCGAUCCUAUCUCUUCCGGGACCCCCAUUUAAACAUGGAUGGUUCAUAAUUUUAUUUAGAAACCCAUAAGAAAGUGAUUGGGGGUCGAUCCCCACCUUAAAACGCACUUUGGAACCCUUGGUACAUCCUUCAUAAAAUUUGGUACAUCCGAUCCUAUCGCUUCUUAGACCCCCAUCUGAACAUGGAUGGUCCAUAAUUUCAUUUAAAAACCCAUAAUAAAGUGAUUGGGGGCCGAUUCCCACAUCAGAACACACUUUGGGACCCUUGGUACAUCCUUCCCAAAAUUUGGUACAUCCGAUCUUAUUGCUUAUAGGACCCCCAUUUGAACAUGGAUGGUCCAUGAUUUCAUCUGGAAUCCAUAAGAAAAUGUUUGGGGGUCGAUUCCCACCUCGAAACGCACUUUGGAACCCUUGGUACCCUCUUCACAAAAUUUGGUACAUCUUUCAUUAAAUUUGGUACAUUCUUCAUUAAAUUUGGUACAUUCUUCAUUAAAUUUUUGUACAUCUCAUCCUAUCGCUUCCGGGACCCCCAUCUGAACAUGGAUGGUCCAUAAUUUCAUUUAGAAACCCAUAAAGAAGUGUUUUGGGGCCGAUCCCCACCUUGGAACGCACUUUGGAACCCUGGGUACAUCUUUCACAAAAUUUGGUAUAUCUUUCAUUAAAUUUGGUACAUCUGAUUUUAUUGUUUCCAGGAUCCCCAUCUGAACAUGGAUGGUCCAUGAUUUCAUUUUAAAACCCAUAAGGAAGUGAUUGGGGGCCGAUCCCCACCUCGAAACGCACUUUUGAACCCUUGGUACAUCCUUUACAAAAUUUGGUACAUCCAUCAUUAAAUUUGGUACAUCCGAACCUAUUGCUUUCGGGACCCCCAUUUGAACAUGGAUGGUUCAUGAUUUCAUUUUGAAACCCAUAAGGAAGUGAUUGAGGGUCGAUCCCCAUUUUGGAACGCACUUUGGAACCCUUGGUACAUCCUUCACAAAAUUUGGUAUAUCUUUCAUUAAAUUUGGUGCAUUCUUCAUUAAAUUUGGUACAUCCCAUCCUAUCGCUUCUGGGACCCUCAUCUGAACAUGGAUGAUCCUUAAUUUCAUUUAGAAACCCAUAAGAAAGUGAUUGGGGGUCGAUCCUCGCUUCGAAACGCACUUUGGAACGCUUGGUACAUCCAUCUCAAAUUUUGGUACAUCCAAUCUUAUUGUUUUCAGGUCCCCCAUCUGAACAUGGAUGAUACAUGAUUUCAUUUUGGAACCCAUAAGGAAGUGAUUGGGGGUCGAUCUCCACCUCAGAAUGUACUUUGGAACCCUUGGUACAUCCUUCACAAAAUUUGGUAUAUCCUUCAUAAUGUACCAAAUUUUGUGAAGGAAGUACCAAAUUUUGUCAAGCAUGUAUCAAAUUUUUUAAAGGAUAUACCAAAUUUUGUAAAGGAUGUACCAAUGUUACCAAAGUCCGUUAUGAGAUGGGGAACGACCUUCAAUAACUUCCUGAGGGUCUCCAAAUGAAGAAAUGGACUAUGGAAAUGAAGAUAAGUGUUCCGUUAGCUCAAGGAUUGGAUGUAUCAAAUUUUCUCAAUGAUGUACCUAGGGUUCCAAAGUCCAUUUUUCGGAGUAGGGAACGAUCUCCAAUCACUUCCCAAAGAUCCCUAAAGGAAUAAUCGGACCAUGUGUAAUAAGAUAGAGGUUUCAAUAGCUCAAGUAUGUACCAAAUAUUUUUAAGGAUGUGCCAAAUUUUGUAAAGAAUGUACUAAGAGUGCCAAAGUUCGUUCCGAUGUGGGGAAUAACCUUCAAUCACUACCUAAAGGUUCUCAAUGGAUAAUAUGGACCAUGGGAAGAUAGAUAAGGGUCUCGAUAGCUGGAGAUUUGGAUGUACCAAAAUUUCUUAACGAUGUACCAAAUUUCCUUAAGGAUAUACCUAGGGUUCCAAAGUUCGUUUCUGAGUAGAGAACGACUUUUAAUUACUUCCUAAAGAUCCCUAAAGAAAUAAACAAACCAUGGGUAAUAAUAUAGAGGUCCUGGUAGCUCAUAGAUUGGAUGUACAAAAUUGUUUUAAGGAUGUGCCAAAUUUUAUGAAAUAUGUACCAAAUUUUAUAAAUGAUGCACCAAAUUGUCUUUAGGAUGUACCUUGGGUUCCAAUAUCCGUUUUAAGGUGGGGAAUAACCUCUAAUUCCUUCUCAAUGGUCCCCAAAGGAAUAUAUGAACCAUGAAAAUGAAAAUAGGGGUCUUGGUUCCUCUAAGAAUGGAUAUACCUAGGAUCCCAAAGUUCUUUUUGGGGUGGGCAAAGACCUCCAAUUACUUAUCAAGGGUCCUAAAGGAAUAUAUACACCAUGAUAAGUAUGAUAGUGUUUUCGAUUCUCUUAAGCAUUAAUUUACCUAUUUUUUUUAAGGAUGUACCUAUUUUUUAUUAAAUUAAUAUAAAAUGUUAAAUACAAUUUUUUAUGAAAAAUAUAUUUUCUUUUAAUUAAAAAUUAAAGAUUUUAACCAAAAAAAAAAGUUAGAUCCACAAUCAAUUUAAAAUCAUAAGAAAAAUGAUAAAAGCACCGUCAGUUAUUGUGAUUUUGAUAUGAUAAAUUUAAAAUAAAAAUUAAAAGAAAAAUAAUUUAAAUAAUAAAAUAGUAUUACGAUGAUAUUUUUACUUUUACAUGUGAUAGAAUUUACAAAAUAAAAAAAUAUUUUGUUCAGUUUUAAUAUAAAAAAUCUUAUAUCAUAAUCUUCUAAAUAAUAAAAUGGAGUUUUUAAAUUUAAACCUUAAUUUAUAAAAUGUAUUAUUAUAAUUAAUAUUUAAAAUCAUUAUUAUUUGUGGGAUAAUAUUUUCAUUUUUGUACAUUAUAUAUAUAUAUUUUUAUUUAAUUUGUUAUAUUAAUUAUUUAUUAUAUAUUAUCAUUUUAAGUUUAAUAUGUCAAAAAAAAUAAUUAAAAUCAAUAAAUAUAGACAAAUUAGAGAGUAAAAAUAAAUUAAAAUUAAAAAAGUUUUAUUAAAAAAUGCGCGAGCAUAUUAAAAAGAAUAUAAAGACAAAAAAGAAAAAUAAUAAUAAUAAUUAUAAUAGGUGACAAUGGAUUAUGGUGGCAGGAGAGGAAAAAAAAAAAAAAAAAAAAAAAAGUGGAAACGUGACAAGUGGUAAGGGAGAUAUAUUGAUAUGAGAAAAAUAAUAAAAUUAAGUGACCCAUGUACUUAUUAACAGAUAGCAUUAAAUUGGUGUUUACUCUUGUCCUUUACUUUUGAGGGUAAUUGUGAAACAAAUUUGAAAGCACUAUUGGAGUGUAUGAAUGGACAAUAUUUUUUUCCAUUUUACACCAAAAUUAAAAAGAAAAAAGUAAAGUUCCAAAAUCUCAUAUAUUUUGUAGUUGGUGUAUGGUUAAAUGAUUUUCCUUUUUUUUUUUUUGUGAUAAAGAAUAUUGAAAAACCUUGAGAUAAUGUUUCUUAAAUUUAAAGAGAGAAAAUUUAAGUGAACUUGUUAAGGAAAAUCUUUUUGGAAAAGUUGUUGUACUCGUUCUUUUAAUCAUUUUUGUUAUAAAUAUGAUUGUUGUUAGAAUUUCCAUGGAUGUAGGCUUGUUGUUGUUGAACCAAUAAAAUCUUGAUAUUCUUAGAGGACACUCUAGGAGAGGUUUUGAUUGAAGAUUGUUCGUCUUUAAUUUUUGUUAACAAUAAGGCACAUUGAUACCGAUAAAAUAAAGAUUAUGCUUAAUUAAGAAAAACACCCAAAAUGAAGGGUGAAUUGGGUUUUUUAAAAUCCUUUUAAACACAAUAAAUUCAAACACAAUAUAAACAAAAAUAAAGAGAUAGAGUUAGAAAAUUCAAACUCUGGUUUUAUAGUGGUUCGACACUUUUUUGCUUACGUCCAUUCUCCUCAAUUUCCUAACCGAAUGAGGGUUCCACUAACUUGAAGUUUCAACCAAGCUUCCAAUCUUCUUACACUUGGAUUCCAGCUCCAAUGGAAUCUUACACAAUCUCUUCAAGAUUCAAACCUCUUGAAUGCUUUAACACUCAACUUUUACAAUAAUGAAUCUCUCAACCUAGCUUAAGGAUAGCUCAAAAUACAAGACAAAGCUAGAAUGACACACAAGAGUGUACUAAAGGAUAUGCAAGUGAUGAUUUAAUGCACUAAUAAAUAAAUGAGAGCUUUUUGGUCAAUAACAGGUAAGUAGACAAUUGAUUGCAAGUGUUCUCUUGUCAAUAAAUGAAGUGGAGCUCUCAAUUUAUAAGUUUCUAAACUCGGGAGCCAAAAACAGCAAAAGGUAACCUCGAUCGGUCAAACUAAGGGUCGACCGGUUCAUUAGCCGUUGGAGCAUUUAAUGCUGACAGGUUACUGUUGCCUUGACCGAACCUCGACCAGGAAAAGAAUAACCUCAACUAGGAAGAGAAGGCUAUUGGGAGAGAGAGAGAAGAUUUUGGGCAUCUCUUGACCGGACCUUGACCGGACAAGGGCAACCGGUCGACCGGUUCCCCAACUGGUUGAGCCUUUUGGUCUCGCAAACCUAUCUUUUUUCAAUUCAUUUAUUUUCUAACACUUAGGCAAAGUCUUUAGGUGAAUUAUUAUGUCAAUUUUAAAACAUUUUGUCUAAGGUACAUUUGUUAAAACUCGGGUUUUAAUGAAAUCGAAAUUUUAAAUGAUAAACUGAGUUUUCUAAGUUGCAUGAAACGGUAUGAAAAUCCUAAGUGCACUCAUGCAUUCAUCUUACAUUCGUUUCCUAUGAUCACAAGUCUUCCAAAAGUCUUGAUCUUAUAUCAAUUUGGUCAUUUGAUGAAUUUUCAAGUUUAUGCUUGAGAUUCUUAACCAUUAAACCAAUUAGUCACUAAACCAUAAUUUGUUAUCAUCAAAACCCGAUUAGGAGAACCCUUGGGCUAACAGAUACUAAUUACUUGAAAUCUUAUCUUAUAAUUUAGUAAAUAGAGCAUAACCGAAUAAGUCGGCUUGAAUCAAACAUCACAUCUUCAUAAAAUUAAUAUGACUAUAACAUAAGGCAACUCAAAUUAGGAAAAUAAAAGCAAAUAAUAUUCUUUUUCCUCUGCUGAGGUAGACUCAUGUAAUGUUACAUACCCCGUUGAUUCUUGAUUGCAACUACAUCUUAUACACAUGGAUGAUAUAUAAUUUAUAUUAAUCAUGUUAAUCAACAAUUUUGGUCAUGGUGGGGACUUAUAGCAAAUAUCUUCCAUAUUAUCGCUAAAGGUUUUUAGAAAAUCAAACAGUUACAAAAUGAAAAGAAAUUUAAUCUCAAAGAGGUAAAAUGGUUUUAAGGAAUUCAUUAAGAAGAUUGAAUAAAAUGGCACCCUAAACUACAAUAAAAUCAUUUUAAUAAAAUGAAACCUUUGAAGAUCUAUUAGAGGUGAUAUAGAUUUCUUGAGAAGGCAAGGACAUAUCAUUUUCGCAACCUUACAUUAUGAUAGAUUAGAGGUAAUGUCAUUUUCACGGUUGGUCAAAGGUGAUGAUGAUCAAUCGUUUGGUAUUUGGUUCUUUUGAUGGGCGUUCCUCAUAGUACAAAAGGUUGAUGGCUUUUAUUUAUUUACUUUUUGGUGGGGGUUGUGAUUUAAUAUUUGGCCUUCGGCUAAGUUUUAUUGGGUUUUUGUGUUUGAGCGGGACAUGGUUUUAUUUGUAUGAUAUUAGGUUAUGUCAAGUUACAUGAUAUUAAAUUAUUAUUAAUUAAUGGGUUUAUGGUAUGAAAUUUGGGAUUGGGAUAGGCUUUCUUGGAUUAAUUACAAAAUUACUCUUUUUUUGUUUUCAAUGUUUGAACCACACAAAUGGGCCAGUGUCAGAAACAUGGUUUGGGCCCAAAUUGGGCCUAAGCCCAAGAUCGAGCAUGGGCCAGCUAGUCCCCAAGACCGACCCUCCAGUCUCGGCUUCAGCCCGUUUCUUAUUCCUGCCCCUCCACAAAAGUAAUUAUUAUUAUAUUGAAAUUUGUUGGCUUGUGAAUCAUGCAAUUUGAUCAAUUCAAUUGAUCGGAUCAACCCAAACUUCGAAAAGUAAGUUUGAAUUAGACUCUGAUUAAGCAUAUUGGGUUAGAUGUUGGAUUGAAAUGGAUUCAGACAGCCCAUUAAGUUACAACCCUAGCAGCAACAAAAUAGCUGCCACCUCCACAAACUGAGAAAGAAAUUCGAAUUUUGGUCUACGAGGAACCUCUUGAAUAGAAAAACAUCCUUAAUUGAAGUCCAGGAACUAUUGGAUGGGGUUUGCCAUGGCCCAUGGAACUGAUGACCCAACUAGCCCAAAACUUCUAAGCCCAACAAAUUUGGGUUGAGGCCAAUCCAUGGGAAUCGAGGCGGACUCUAGAUUGAUCCAUCAAUGCCAACAUUUUUGUAUUUAAUUAAUGCGGACAUCGACACGCACUACGCACGUGAAUCGUAACACACUUAGAAGAGCAAGUCUUGUAUUGUCAAGCUUGAUUUGUUCACAUACAUGUAAUAAUUUUUUGUUUUAUAAUUUUAUACAUGAAAAGGGCACGAGAGAUACGGAGAACAAAUGAAGAACAAACACGCUUAUUUUCUUUAAAAAUAAAAUUUUUAUAAACAGAAUGUCAGAUCCCUCGUGAUGACUCAUUAUUUGUUUUUUAAAUUUAACAAAUUAGCAAAUCAUGCUCAAAUAAAACGUGACAUUUAAUAUUUGGAUAUUCAAAACAAAAUACAUCAAACGUAUUUUAAUUAUUUCGAUCUGAUAAUGUCUUAUCUUGGAGGUUUUGAUUUGACUCGAUUCUAGUUAAUUGAACAAUACUAAAAUCAUAAUAUGUGAAUAUUGAUGAGUAAGCAAUCGUUAGUGACAAAUUUUUUAGUUAUCUUCGUGAUGUGAUAUUAAUAAAUGCAUAAUCCAUCAUAAAUGUAUAUAUCAAAUCUAAUAAUUACAUGAGAAGAUAUAUUAGUAGGUAAAAGAUCGGGAGUCAGCUGAAUAUAUUUACCAAAAUAACUUAAUCCAUUUUUGAUAAGACCUGUAUAUAAUUAGCAUAUUGAUAUGAGUGAAGUUAAUGCAACAAUAAUAUUUAUAUAAUUCAUGGGUGCAACUAAUUUCUCAUGAGGUAAUUAUAUGAUUACCAAUUCGAAACAAAAAUAAAUAGAAACAUAGUUUUAGUAAAAGGAACCCAAGAAUCAUAUUAUUUUCUGAUUCGAGUUUUGCUCACGUCUUAGAAUGAAUUCAAAUGACAUAUUUGGACAUUAAUAUUCAAUCGCAGCUCCCUCCAAUUUAUUUAUUUUUAUUUAAAAAAAGACAUGCAAAAAGGUGAAAAGAAAAAUACAUUAUUUUUAGAAAAGGUGGAUCUAAAGAUAAAAAGUCAUUAUUAAGAAUAUUAUUUAUAAUAAAAUCUAUUUAAAAAUUUAUACAUAUGAAAGAAAGUAUUAAAAGAAAACGCAGAUAAAACAUAACUAAACACACAUAAACAAAUCAAAUCACAGUCAAAUAAAGAAGGAACAUUAUGAUAUCCCGUCAAGGGUCCAACCAUGCGACCACCCAAGCCAACAAAAUUAGUAUGCAAGUUUGGUGCCCCCUCUUUACCAAGCCACACACAAGGGCCCCACCAUUCCAACCGCCUACGUAGCACCACAACAGUGAUUACGUGGACCAUCGGAUUCAUGAUAAGAUCAGCCACUCCCUAUUAAUUAACAAGACCAUAAUCAUCUUUGCCCACCAACACUUCCCUUUACUGCACUGCAGCUGCGAAAGAGCCAAUGCUCGUGCACUCCCAAAAUAUUUCUCUGUUUCACAAAAUCACCUUUUCUGUUGUGGGAAACAUGAUCGCCGCAGUACGGCUGUUUGCGUUUGCCGGCCACCACCACCCCCACCCCCAGUGUUGCAGUUGCUUUCAGCCUUUCACCAUGCGGCGUGCGUUGGCCUCGCAUUCCUCUCGCUGCCUCGCGCGACAGAUUCCGGAAUCACUCCGUCAAUGAUUUUGAAUUCAAAUUUUUGUUUUCCUUUUUUUAUUUUCAUUUUUUACACCUGGCAAAUUAUAGCGCAGUACACCUGGUCGUUGUUUAUGGUGACAAAAUUUUGACAUUUUUUUUGUUGUCGCUCUAAUUAUUGGAAAAGGAAAAUUAUUAUUAUCCCUUGAAAAUGUAAAAUUUGACACUUACAAAAUUGGUACAUUAGGAUUUUUACUAGGUUUCCUUUGAAUCAAAAUAAGUUUCGUUUGACUUCAGAAAUGAGAGGUUUCCCUUAUUCCAUAAUAGUAGACGGAAUUGACAGGUUAGGCUCGCUAGAAUUUCAGACGGAAAAAUCAAUAUAGUCAAGUCUUUAGAAUUUCUGGCAAGUGUGAUCAACCACGCCUAAUAUUUGAGCGUUGACCCACACACUUGACAUCUGAGCAACAAAUUAGACACUAGAUUUCUAAAUGACGGACGAAACUCCAUUUAUAUCGAAAAGUCAAUGUUAAUUAAUUGUUACACACAAUUUCAAAUAUUGGCAGAUUAAAUGAACAAUCAGCUGCACGGUCCGAGAUUUUGGCACGUCAAUAGACAACACCAAUCAAUCGCCUUUAUCUGAUAUAAUUAUCCAAUUGCCCUAAGGGCAUUCAUUAUUACAAAAAAUGUUAGAGUGCAUAGUCAGCACUACAAUGACGAUACUAUCAAUUUUAUAUAAAUCCCCCAAAAAACAUAAGGUAAGAGAUUAUCUCAAAAAAGAAUUGUUAGAGUUAUCCUUAUUUUUUACUUAAGUUUAAAAGUGACGUGCCCGAACAACCUAUUCGGACAUCCUAUGCGGAGGGAAGAAGUCCUCCUAGCUCUAGUGAAGCUAUAUCGGACUGGUUGGCUCAACCCCAACACUUGACCGUAUAUUUUUUUUUUUGGCAAAAAUAAACUCCAACAAUGACAGCUGUAAUGAUCUUGGCCAAGAAGAAAGAUGACGCAUGCCGUGAGGUGUGUGUGUGGAGUUGCUGAGUUCCGUAAGAUGUGAGUAUACAAAUAUCCCGGCCAGCCAUGAAAGCGACUACGCCAUGACUCCUGUAUGACUGGUCCAGUCACCACGCUAGCAGACACCCAAUUUU
rnacentral:lncRNA from 1 species